AUGGCCACUGAUGUCCUUUCAAAAGGGCACUUAACCACUAUUUUUUCACCUUUAGGAGAUCAAUGGAGAAAAAUGAAGAGAGUUAUGGUCAGCAAGAUGCUUUCACUGGAAAGACAUCGAUGGCUUCACGAGAAAAGAGUUGAAGAAGCUGAUGACCACGUGCGUUACGUACUGGACCAAUGCAAAAAUGGUGAUGAAGGCGUCCUUGUAGACUUAAGACUAGUUGCCCAACACUAUUGUUGCAAUGUGACAUGGAAGUUGAUCUUUAAUAAAAGAUAGUUGGGAGAAGGGAAAUCAGAUGGUGGACCUGGUUUUGAGGAAGAAGAAUAUGUCGACGCCAUUUUCGCUUUAGUCAUUCAUCUUUAUUCCUUUUGUAUAUCCGAUUACUUGCCAUUUUUGAAAGGCCUCGACCUGGAGAGGCAUGAGAAAAUCGUGGAGGACACAACUAGUGUUCUAGAGAAAUAUAACAGUCCCAUUAUUGAAGGCAGGAUUCAACAAUAGAGAGUUGGCAAGAAACUGUUGAGAGUUGGCCUGCAAUGCAACAUGAAACCAGCAGCAUGUAGCCAUCGAGUUUAGCAACAGCAAAGGAAUCUGAACUGCAGCAUUGGAGCUUGACCAAAUGCAACAGUAGCUUAGUUCAUUUUGUUUCAAUGUAAACUUGUUUAGUUACAAAAUUUUGUAAGAAAGUUAGUAGGAUUAGUCUUUGAUUAGUCCUUGAUGUAAUGACUGAUUGGUCAGCUACUUUUGUGUAUGAUUUUAGUUAUAAGCUAGUCAUGUAUUAGUGGGGGCAGUUAAGCCAUUAGGUAACUGUCAAGCUGAUAAAUUGUAAAUGCAAUAUAUUUCAAAAUUUGAAUGAAAAAUACAAGUUGUUCAGUUACAAUUUUUGAGUGUUCAAACUUUCUUGCUAUUUUUCUUUUCUUUUGCUUCGAUUUCUAUUGGUUUCUGCUUUGCAAAUUUGUUUUACUACUGCCAAAGUUCCUGUGACUCACCUAAACAGGAUAAUGGCCUGUGACUCACCUAAACAGGGAUGGGAGAAGCUGAAGAAGGAAUUCAUUGGGUCUGACAAAACGAGGCAGCAUCAAGUGAUCAAUCUCAGGAGAGAUUUUGAAAUUUUGAAGAUGAAGGAGUCUGAGACCAUUAAACAGUACUUAGACAGGAUAAUGGCCACUGUAAAUAGCAUAAGGCUUCUUGGAGUGGACUUUAGUGAGAGCAGAGUUGUUGAAAAGGUCAUCACAACUCUCCUUGAGAAAUUUGAGUCAAAAAUCUCUUCACUUGAGGACUCGAGGGAUUUAUCAGCCAUCUCAUUAUCUGAGCUGAUAAACUCCCUGUAUGCACUUGAGCAAAGGAAAGCAAAUAGACAGGAAGAACAUCCUAAAGCUACUUUCUAGGCAAAAGCCAAUGAAGGCUCAAGUCCGAAUUUGAAAGGCAAGAAGCCUUGGCACAACAGAAGAGACAAACCAAGAAGAGAUGAAGGAAAAAGGAUGUUUCCUCCAUGCACUCAUUGCAAGAAGACAACACAUUCAGAGAGGUAUUGCUGGUAUAGGCUUGACAUUCAAUGCAGGAAAUGUAAACAGUUUGGUCAUGUGGAGAAAGUGUGCAAAGGAAAGGGAAAGGGAAAGGAGGCUGCUUAGCAACAAGCUCGACCUGUUGAAGACCUUCAAGCUCAGGAGGAGCAUGUGUUCACAACCUCCUGUUUUGUCAGCACAACAAAGCCCAGAAGUGAUUGGCUAGUGGACAAUGGCUGCUCACACCAUAUGGCAGCUGAUGAAAGGUUGUUUAAGGACCUAGACAGAAACUUUACCUCAAAUAUCAAAAUUGGAGAUGGAAACUUGAUUGAAGCCAAAAGAAAAGGCAAUGUGUUGGUAAGCACUGGUUCAGGUAACAAAUUGAUUACUGAUGUGCUCUUUGUGCCUGAUAUAGACCAAAAUUUGCUUAGUGUGGGCCAAUUAGUGGAAAAAGGUUGUACCUUAGUCUUUAAAAAUGGUUGUUCCAUUGUUCAAGACUCACUUGGUCAAGAGCUUGUUAUAGUAGCUAUGACUGAUAGGUGCUUCAUGUUGGAUGUGAGCCAAGUAGAAAGAAAGGCUUACACCAGUCUUGCUAAUAGCACUGAUCUCUGGCAUAGGAGAUUAGGCCAUGUUAAUUUCAAGUCCCUUGAUCUAUUGCAUAGGCUAAAUUUGGUUGAUGACAUGUCUAAAAUUGAAGCUAGUGGCACUGUUUGUGAGGUUUGCCAGCUUGGUAAGCAGGCUAGAUUGCCUUUUCCAGUUGAUAGUGCUUGGAGAGCUCAAGAGAGGCUUGAAUUGGUGCAUUUUGAUGUUUGUGGUCCUAUGAAAAUUCCUUCAAUCAGUGACAACAAGUACCUUGUCUUGUUUAUAGAUGACUUGACAAGGUUUUGUUGGGUUUAUUUUUUGAGGCAGAAGUCAGAUGUGUUUGAGACAUUCUACAGGUUUAAAGCACUUGUUGAAAACCAAUCUGGUUGCAAAAUUAGAGCCUUAAGUUCUGAUAAUGGAUCUGAAUAUGUGUCUGAUAUAUUUCAGAAGUUGUGUGAAAGUGCUGGGAUUCAUCAUCAACUCACUACUGUAUAUACUCCUCAAUAGAAUGGAGUAUGUGAGAGGAAGAAUAGAACUGUGUUUGAUAUGUCCAGAUGUAUGUUAUUGCAGAGCAAGCUUCCAAACCAAUUUUGGGCUGAGGCAGUCAACACCUCAGUAUAUCUGUUUAACAGGUUGCCAACUAGAGCAGUCAAAAACAAAACUCCUUUUGAGGCUUGGCAUGGAGCCAAACCAGUGGUAACACACUUGAAAGUAUUUGGUUGUGUGUGCUAUACUCAUGUUCCAGUGGAAAAAAGUACCAAGCUUGAAAGUAGAGCUGUUCCAGGAAUUUUUGUUGGCUAUAGCAGUAAUAAGAAGGGCUAUAGGGUGUUUGAUCCAUCAACAAAGAAGUUAUUGGUCAGCAGAGAUGUGCAGUUUGAUGAAGAGAGGGUAUGGAGCAGGAAUGGUGUUGAAGCAGGCUUGCUUGAAGAGAAUCAGUUGGACUUGGUCACUGAACCUACAGAAGAAGGAUCAAAUGUUGAUGCUGUUGAUGAUGCACCAGUGAGAGGCACUAGAACCUUGGCUGACAUUUACCAAAGAAGCAAUGUUGCGGUAGUUGAGCCUACUAACUAUGAAGAGGCUGCCAAGGAUAAGAACUGAAAGAAGGCUAUGGAAGCAGAAUUGGAGAUGAUCAACAAGAAUCAGACUUGGGAAUUGGUGAACAGGCCAGACCACAAGAAAGUCAUAGGUGUUAAGUGGUUGUUUAGAGCCAAAUACAAUGUUGAUGGCUCAUUGAACAAGCACAAGGCUAGGCUUGUGGUGAAAGGCUACAGUCAGUAGUAUGAAGUUGAUUUCGUGGAGACAUUUGCUCCAGUAGCAAGAUUGGAAACAAUCAAGCUUCUGUUUGCUUUAGCUGCUCAGAAACAGUAGAAGGUUCAUCAAUUAGAUGUAAAAUCAGCUUUUCUGAAUGGUUUUCUCAAGGGGGAGAUUUUCAUUGAGCAACCAGAGGGAUUUAAAGUUGCUGGAAAGGAAGAUAAGGUGUAUAGGCAGAGAAAUGCUCUUUAUGGCCUGAAGCAGGCACCAAGGGCCUGGUAUGACAGGAUUGACACCUACCUGUCUAGGCUCAGGUUUGAAAGUUUUAGGGAAAUCUUAAAAAUACCUAGAAACAAGGCACACGCGGCCAUGUGUAACACCCUAGAACGUGUGACUUUCGAAGUCGGGACACACGGUCAUGUCCCAACUUGUGUCUCUACUCAUGUAACUCACUGAUUUGAGACACACGACCAUGUAACUCACUAACUUGGGUCACAUGGUCGUGUCGCAGGCCGUGUGUCAGCUCGUAUGGGAACUACACUUAUACUAUUUUACAACUUGUUUAGAUUACACACCCUUAUGUGUUGCUUGUGUGUGUCACACGGCCGUGUGACAGACCGUGUCCUAGGCCGUGUGCACCUAUAUGUACCUUAAAACUCAAGUUUACCAAGUUGUGAUUACUUGGACACUAAGCAACAUAAAUACUCGCCAAUUAACCUAUCCAAAACACAUUAAAACUACUCAAAAUAUGCCAACUAAAUCAUCUAAUAUACCUAACAAAUGUACCAUUGUUGGUACCACAUUUUAUAUGUUCAAACAAAUCAACAAAGCAUCAACCAUUUAAAACUUCUAUUCAUACCAAAAUUUGCUAUAAUUGAACUAAAUUUUAGCUUUUUAGGUUACAAAAUUUUAAGCUAAACACAUACCAAACAUUAGGCUAAGCUAUCAUACCAGCAUUGCCUCAACUAUAACCAUAUAUACAAUUAUCCAUCAUUUCACUAAGAAACCAAAAUAUCACCACAUCAUAAACAACAUCAACAAAAGACCCCUAAGUAUAUGUCGUUACAAAAUAAAACAUCACUACACUUAAGCUCGGGAUUGUUGUUGGAUUGAGUUGACAAUAAGUUGAAGGUACCUAACCGUUAACCUGUACAUGAAAAUCAAAACCACACGCUAAGUAUAACUCAGUAGUAUUUCUAUAAUCCAAACAACUUAAACUUAAUAUGAGUAAUUAAAAUGUAUGAAUGCACAAGUAAUGCCAUGAAGAUAUAUUUCAAUUCAAUAAUAUAAAAUUUGCCUAAUUCUUAAUCACAUCCACUAAAUUCUACAUGCUCUUGUACAUGAAAAUGGUAUUUCAUAUAGCAUUUCAUAAUUUCAACUAAUGCAAUAGCAUGAUUUAUCCCUUUAUUCAAUAUAUGAAUUCAUUUCAAUUUUCAUAUCCCAUUUCACCAUUCUAUAUUUUAUUUUCCAUUUCUCAUCCUUGUCAUUUUAAUAUCACACAUAAGUUUUAUCUUUUAUUUUCCUUUAUUAACACAACUUGGACUCGAACAGAUACAUGGAUCCAACCAACACACCAGUUUGGCACUCAAUGCCUCAUUGGAUAAACCUAAAGUAAUAACUGCACCUAAUGCUAUAUAAGUUGACACCUAGUGUCUCAUCAGUUAAACUAAUGCAAAUUGGCACCUAGUGCCUCAUCGACUCGAGGUCGAAGAAAUCCCUGAACUCUUUCUAUCCUAUGGCAUGCCAUCUAUAUCUGACUUAGCCCGAAAUAAUUAAUAGGGUUUCAUCUCACUUUCAAUACAUCCAAUGUCCCAAUUUCAUAUAUGUACAUGAUUACAUAUAAACAUGUAUUCAGAAAUCCCUAAACUCUUUCCAUCCUAUGGCAUGCCAUCUAUAUCCGACUUCGCCCGAAAUAAUUAAUAGGGUUUCAUCUCACUUUCAAUACAUCCAAUGUCUCAAUUUCAUAUAUGUACAUGAUUACAUAUAAACAUGUAUUCAGUUUGGUAGCAAUCACAAUUUCUCAAUUACACAUAUUCAUUUCAAUAUUUAUAAAAGCAUCACUUUCUUGAUAUACAAAAUUUGUCCACUCAAAUCAACUAUGGAUUCAAUUCAGCCUAAGUACAAGAGUUCUCACCUUAAUACUUACCAUAUACAACAAUUCAGUAUGCAACAAAUUAUAACUUAGUUCGGAUUAUAGAAACACAAACCAUAUAUUUCGAGCUACUCGACGUCGACAUUGUCUUUUCCCUUCUUACUCAAGGAUUUCAGAUCGACUUUGCUACAAAAUAAAAUAAUUAAAGUAAAUUAAUAUAAUACCAUUCAAUUAUAAAAAUUUAAAACUUUCUACUAUAUUUUGUUUAUUCUUCAAUUUAGUCUCUAAACUGAGACUAAUUUCAAUCUUUAUACAAAUUUCACUCCAAGCUAAAUUUAGAUCCUUAUUUUCAAUUCUACCCCUUAAUUUUAAAAUUGUUACAAUUUAGUCCCUAUUACUAAAAAUAAACAAUUAAUUUUACAAUAUAGUGCUCUUCCACUUCUAACUUAAAAAUCUAUUAAUUUAACCCGUAAUAUGUAAACUAUUCAACAAUGACAACAUCUAAAAUAUCAAACAAUACUAAAAAUUAUGACAUGGGUCAAGUAGCUCUAAGUACCGAAAUUCUAAAAACAUAAAAAUGUCAAGGAAAUGACUAAAUUGCACUAACCAAUUUGGAUUUAAACCCCUAGGUCCCUUAGCCGUGCGUCUCCCUUGCUAUUUCUUUCUUUCCUUUCUUUUCUUUCUUUUGAAUGUUUGCAUGUGAUUGUUUUGUUGUUUAUUACUAUUAUUUAUUAUUAUCAUCAUCAUUAUUAUUAUAACUUAUAUAUAUAUAUAACAUAUAUAUAAUAUACACAUGCAUAUUCAUUAAAACAUGGCUGGUCACCAUCCAACCAUUUAAUUAAUGGUACAAUUGCUACUUUAGUCAUUUUUAUUUAUUUUAAUCUAUAAAUCAACUUUUGAGCCUUACGUGAUUUAUAGUCCCUCUACCUUAAUAACUCCCAAUUUCACGAAAAUUACCUACCUAAAAUUUAAUUCGCUACUAAACUAACUUUGUAAACAUUUAAUAAAAUAUUUACAGGUUCGUUUUACAGAAAUAGAUUUCCUAGCUUCACUUUUCGACACCCUUGACUAUUUGGUCGUUACAUAGAGGAAGUUCAUGGAAGAGGAAUAUUUGAAGGUGAAAAGACGUGAGUUCAUGGAUUUGGUGGAUGAGUACGAGGUAGAGUUUGUGCAUCUGAGCUAGUAUGUGCCUGAGUUGGUGGCUCAAGAGGCUAGUCGUUGUAAGAGGUUCAGGUUUGGACUAAACUGAGAUAUUAAGUUGUAUCUGGUAGCGUAAUCUACUGAGGUCUUUGGUGAGUUGGUUGAAAAGGUCCAAGAUUCAAAGGAGACUUUGGGUGAGGAGCCCAAAGCUGUUAUUACUAGGAUCGUUAAGAAGUCAUUUGAACCUGCUAGUGGAUCUGGUUGGAAGGCCACGAGAGAUCAUUUUUGGAGGUCUGAACGAUGUGUUGCUAUAGGCUAGGAUUCGGUUAGACAGACCACAAGAGCUAUGACUGACGCAGGUGCUUAGGGAUGUGUUCUAAUGCCGGCUUGAAGGAGAGGUCAUGGCAGAGGUAAUGGUGAUAAAGGGUUUUGAAAAAGAGGAGUUGCUCGAGUUGAGACUGAGGUCCAGCUAGAGUAUACGCACUUAAAGAGCCCCAGACUAGAUAGGCCACAGAUGUCAUCGCAGGUACAUUUACACUAUAUUGUUUUUCUCUUCUAGCUUUAGUAGAUUAUGGUGCUAUGAGAUCAUUUAUUCUGAGAGAUUUAACUAGAGAGUUGGGGAUUUCUGUAGAGACAUCUAAGUUGGGUGUUAGUGUGAGGAGUACACUUGGUGAUAGUGUAGUAGUUGAUUGGGUUUAUCAACAUUGUUAUCUAAUGGUUCAAGGAAAAGUAUUUCCUGUAGAUCCUUUGGAGUUGUCAUUCUAGGGAUGGAUUGGUUGACCGAGCCUCGGGUGAAGGUUAACUGUGAGGCGAAUUGGUGACUCUAUGUUGUGAUGAUGGCUCUAAGAUUGUUGUUUUUGGAGAGAGGUCUAAGUUACUCUCUAAUAUGGUUUCUGCGCUUAAAGCCGAGAAGCUAGUCCGAAAAGGUUGCAAAGCUUAUCUAGCCUAUGUCCUAAAUGUUGAUAGUAGGGAGUUAAGGUUGGAUGAGAGUCGUACAGUUUAUGAUUUUUUGGGUGUUUUUCCUGAGGAGUUGUCUAGUAUUUUACCGGAUAGAGAAGUUGAGUUUGGUAUUGAGCUCUAUCCGGCUACAGCUUUGAUGACAAUUGCGCCUUACUAUAUAGCACCUAAUGUGUUGAAGGAGUUAAAGCUUCAGUUGUAGGAGUUGUUGGAUCGGGGUUUCAUUUGACCGAGUGUGUUGUCUGGGGAGCGUUGGUUCUGUUUGUGAAAAAGAAGGAUAGGACUUUGAGGUCGUGCAUUGAUUAUCACCCUUUGAAUAAGUUGACCAUCAAGAAUAAGUACCCACUUCCGAAGAUCGAUGAUUUGUUUGAUCAGUUUUAGGGAGCUUCAGUUUUCUCAAAGAUUGAUUUGAGAUUUGGGUAUUAUCAGUUAAAGAUGAAGGAUGCAGAUAUUAUGACGACAACAUUUAGGACUCGUUAUUGGCAUUUUGAGUUUCUUGUCAUGCCAUUCGGGUUGACAAAUGCACCUCCCGCAUAUAUGGAUAUGAUGAAUCGUGUAUUCCGUUCAUAUCUAGAUCAGUUCGUUGUGGUUUUUAUAGAUGAUAUAUUGUUGUAUUCUUGAUCAGAGGAUGAGCAUGACGAGCAUUUAAGAGUGGUUCUUCAGAUUUUGAGGGAGAUACAACUGUAUGCCAAGUUGAGCAAGUGUGAGUUUUGGCUUCGAGAGGUGGCUUUUCUUGGGCAUGUAGUUUCAGUUGAGGGUAUUCGGGUUAAUCUGAAGAAGGUUGAGGUAAUCUUGGAUUGGAAGUCGUCAAGGUCUAUGUUUGAGGUCAGGAGUUUCUUGGGCUUAAUUGGUUAUUAUCAUCGUUUCGUCAAGAGGUUUUCAUGUAUUGCAGCUCUGUUGACAAAGUUGCUUUAGAAGAAUACUGCCUUGGAGUGGACUGAUAAGAGGCAAAUGAGUUUUGAAAAGCUGAAGUCAAUUCUGACUAAAGCACCUGUAUUAACACAGUCAAAUUCUGGUAAAGAGUAUGUUGUUUUUAGUGAGGUUUCUUACAUGGGAUUAUCUCUAUCAAAAAUAAUUUAGACCGGAACCCUAUGCAGUCUUACGAUCUCUGAAACAUAUAACUUGACCAACUAUUGAAAGGAGUAAUAUGUCCUAAUAGGAAUGAAGUGUGUAGACUUUGUCUACUGAUCUGCGAUGACCCACACAUAAUCUUUUUUAGUAGGUGUUAAGGGUAACUGACUAACGAAGUCCAUAGUCACCUAUUCCUAUUUCCAUAAGGGAAUUUUAACUGGUUGAAGCAAAGCUGAAGGCAACUAGUGCUCAGCCUUCACCUACUGGCACAUAAGACAAUGAGAAACAAAAUUUGUUACCUUCUAUUUCAAACCAGGCCACCAGUACAACUCACAAAGAUCCCAAUGCAUCUUAUUUCCACCGGGAUGCAUAGCAUAAGGGCUACUAUGCACAUCCCUCAGAAUGGAGUGUCUCAAAUCAAAAUCGUUAGACACACAAACCCAUCCUUGAAAACGUAGGACCCCAUCAUUGUUUAGCCCAAAAUUAGAUGUACUACAAUCCUCCACCUGACCGACUCGUAGAAACAAAGAAUCAUCCCCUAAUUGCUUAACCAGGAUCUGCCCAAUCCAAGUCAGCUUAACUUGAAACUCAGCUAACAAACUCCCAUAAUCAAUUAGACUUAAGCGAGCAAAUAUCGCCCUUAAAUCAGACAUUGGUCUACAACUAAGAGCAUCUGCCACUAUAUUGGUUUUACCGGGAUGAUACUCAAUAGUGCAGUUGUAAUCCUUAAACAACUCAAUCCAUCUAUGUUGCCUAAGGUUUAUCUCCUUCUGAGUAAGGAGAUACUUGAAGCUCUUAUGAUCGGUGUAAAUGAUACACUUCUCACCAUACAGAUAGUGCCUUCAAAUCUUUAAGGUGAAAACAACUACAGCUAACUCAAGAUUGUGAGUAGGAUAGUUUCCUUCGUGUGACUUAAUCUAUCGAGAUGCAUAAGCCACCACCUUACCAUCUUGCAUUAAAACACACCCCAAACCUACGUAAGAUUCGUCCUUGUAUACCACGAAUUCCUUAUUGAUUUCAGGCUAUAUCAGAAUAGAGGCCUAAGUUAAAAUGAAUUACACUUCUUGAAGCUCGACUGCUACUCAUUUGUCUAGACAAACGGAUUGUUCUUAUGCAAUAACUUAGUCAAAAGAGCUGCAAUGAAUGAAAACCCCUCGAUAAACCUUUGAUAAUAACCCACCAGUCCAAGAAAACUAUAGAUCUCGGAAACAUUCCUAGGUUGUUUUCGUUCAAGAACAGCCUUGAUUUUCUUAGGAUAAACUCGAAUCCUCUCAGCAAAAACCACAUGACCCAAAAAAGUUAUCUCCCUUAACCAAAAUUCACAUUUCCUCAAUUUAGCGUAGAGAUUUUUUCCCUCGGUGUAUCCGAAGAACUACUCUAAGAUGCUUAUCAUGAUCAUCUUCAGUCUUAGAGUAUACAAGAAUAUAGUCGAUGAAGACUACAAUGAACUGAUCCAAGUACGACUGGAAAACCUAGUUCAUAAGAUCCAUAAAUGCAGUCGAAGCAUUCAUCAACCAAAGGGCAUGACUAGGAACUCGUAAUGCCCAUAACGAGUCCUAAAACUGGUGCUAUGAACAUCGAUUUCCUUAACCUAAAGCUGAUGGUACCAGAAUGAAGAUCUACUGUGGAAAAUAUAAAAGCCCCACGGAAAUGGUCGAACAAAUCGUCGAUCGUCGGAAGUGGGUACUUAUUUUUUAUUUUUAACUUAUUUAACUAACGGUAAUCGAUACACAUCCUCAUAGUACCAUUAUUUUCUUCACGAUCAAAAUUGGUGCCCCCCACGGAAACACACUGGGAUAGAUAAACCCUUGAUCAAUGAGUUCUUGAAGCUGAGCCUUUAGUUCCAUAAGCUCCUUUGUUGCCCUCUGAUGGGGACCAAUAAAUACCGGAGCAGCACCCGAUAAAACCUCAAUACUGAACUCGACCUCCCUAUCUAGAGGCAAACCCAAAAACUCCUUAGGAAAAACAUACGGAAAAUCCUUAACCAUCUGAAUAUUCCGAAUGGAUGAACCCGUAGAAACAGAAUUACACACGUACGCCAGAAAUGCCUCACACACUUCAAUAACCAACUUUUCUGCCACAAGAGCGAAGAUUACAUUAGAUACAUAAUCCCAACACUCACUGAUCAUAAUCACCUCCACAUCAUUCUCUGAUCUCAGAACUGCCCUCUUAGUAGCAAAAUCCAAACUUACCCGAUGCUUCACAAGCCAGUUUAUUCCCAAAAUCAGAUCGAAUUCCCCAAAUGGUAGUUCCAUUAGAUUAGUCAGAAACGCAACUCUUUAUGACUCCAACGGUACAUUCCUAUAUAGCCUAUUAUCUUGAACUGACUGACCCAGUGGACUGACCACAAUAAUCUCUCCAGAAGUGCUCUCAAUAGAACUUUCCAAAUUUACAGAAAUAGAACUACCUACAUAGGAAUGUGCUGAUAUUAUAUCUAUGAGAGCAAAAUAAGGUACAAUACGAAUAAAUAAUGUAUCAGGAAUAAUAUUUGUGGUGUCUUUAUCCUCACGAUGUCUAGCAGCAUAUACCAAUGCAGGCUACCUUGCCUCAGCCUAGUUAGCACCUGUGCCCGAUGGUCUCUGACCUCUAGCCAUACUAUUACCACCCCUAGCGAAACCAUGACCCCUAAACGACUACUGAACUGCCCACUGAGACUGAAGAAAUCCUAGAGUUGGGGCUUGCAUCUAAUCAGAAUGCUAUGGACAAUCCCUGAUGUGGUGAUCCAUUGACCCACAUCGCAGACACGCUUCCAAUCUCUUCCAACAUUUGCCCGGAUAGCGUCUAGCACAAUCCCUACAUGGCUAAGCCACGGUAGGUGCAACUAAAACCUUAAUUGUGGAAGGCCUAUCAGAUCUAGCCCGUUUCUUAAGCCUCUGAGCAAAACUAGAUAGCUCUAUAUCCCUUUUAUUUUUACCCCUCUCACACUCUCUAUUUUCGUGCUCAACCCACGUAACCUCUUCAACAAUUCUCGUAUUGUUCGCCAAGACAGUACAUACCCGCUCCCUCUAUGGAGCUAUCAAAACCUUUAGAUUAUCCCUCAAUUCAUCCUCAAAAUGAAUACACUUCUCAUAUUUAGUUUAUACCAACCCGCGAGCAUAUCAACUUAAUCUAAAAAAUUCGGCCUCAGAUUAGGCCAUAGUCUUAUCUCCCUAGGUAAGGCUCACUCACGUCUACGAGAAUCCACAUAACUCGACCCCACAUGUUUACCCUAGAAGGCGCUCUUAAACUGAUACUAAGGACUCUAUUCCAGCUGAGUACCCUCCUCAACCGUUUACCACUAUUGAUAUGCCUCAUCGCAAAGUAGAGAUAUUGCACCCUUCUAUUUUUGCUCAGGGGUACAGUCGAUGUCAUUCAUAGUCCUCUUUGUGGCCUCCAACCAAUAUUUGGCCACAAUGAGGGAGACUCCAGUUACGCCUCUAAAUAACUCAACGCCAUUGGACCAGAGUCGCUCAGUUACUGACCCACAGCUCUCAGAAGAAGAAUGGGGCCCAACGAUCCUCUUCAGAACUCUUAACCUUUCUUGGGACAAUACGUCAUCCCCAGUCAAGCGACUUUGAGACCCGAUCUCAACAGUGGGUGUAGCCAGUGUCUCACUCAUGUUUAGAUUCGGCAUACUACCCAUCGAGGAUAACUCAGCUCGAGCUCCUCUACAGCGCCCCUCGUGCCAACGAGUACCAUGACCAUGAGAUCUACGAAUGCUCAUUGUAUAUAAUGUCUGCAUUAAAAAUUUUAUGUAUCAUUUCCAACAUUUAUUAGCAGAUAAUUUAUGCUCAAAAGUUACCAAAAGAAGUUUUAGAAAUAUUUCAAUCUCUAAUUAUCACAGUACAAUUCCAAUCAUUUCAGAGUUUCCUAAACUAAAGUAUUUCUAAGUCAGAAGUACUUACAGGAUCAGCGCUGGAGACUCGGUAUUUCACAAAAUUAUUAUAUUUUUUCAAAUUCAGGUAGAAAUAAACUAUACUCGAACAAACAAUUUUCACAAAAAUAAUUUUGAACCCAAAAUUUCACAGCCCGAGUUUUGUAACCUAACUCUGAUACCAUUAAAUGUAACACCCCAAACUCGGCCUGGACGUUAUGGCUAGAUCUGGAGAUGCUACGUAAAGCAAUUGUAAAUCUGGUUUUCGUAUAUUUUGAAAUACCUCAUAAACUUUUGUUACUAAAAUUUUUUUUAUUAGAAAACGCAUUUGACAUAAUUAUUUAUUUGAAAACAUUGUUUGUUUACUUUUUUUAAAUAAAACAAAUACUUUGCCGCAGAAAUUCUUUGAUCGUUAUAAAUUGGAAAACUAAGUUUGUUUUCUCAAAAUCGUUGUUUGCAGAAAAAUAGUCAUAUUCGGUAAAUCGUUUUAACAAUAUCAUGUGAAAAUAAAAAAUAAAAUCCAAAAUCAAGACAAUCCCAAAACUAUCCAAAUUCUACAAAACACUUAAUUAAAUAUAGUUAAAAAGAACGAAAUGCUAAUAUAUCCAAGCUCUCAUCGCACUGACCCGCUUAAGUCUGAGGAUUACCUGAAAAUAUUAGUCAAACAAAGAGUGAGUUUUUGAAACUCAGUGUACAUCGAAUAACUAAAAGCAGUUAGAUGCAUAUAAGAUAGAUUUAUAACAAAACAGAACAAAUAUGACAUAUAAUCCUACCCCCAACCGCUACACACCAUUUUCAACCAUCCCAACACAUUAUAUGGGUAUAAAACACCUAUUCAUCCUUAUACACCACUUAGUGUCAAUAUGAUACUAUACAGAACAGUUGCAACUGAGUUGCCGGAUCAAUAUGUGAUUUAUCACCUUUUUACAGAAUCACUUCCUCCAUGCAACCUUUACAACCCAACCUAGAUGUAGAUACAAAAUACAAUAAAUAUCAUAUAAAUUGAGAGCAUAAAUUAUACAUGUCACAGUUUUACAUGCACAACGUAUCAGAUAUAUAUCACAUGCUUAUCAUAAAUGUUUAGAUUUAUUAAUCAUUCAACAUCUUAAUUACUCUUACAGAUAAUAGAAACUAUACUAACAGAUGUCCAGCUGUCAUGUUUUACAAUACAUAACUCACAUAUCGCCUCUAUGAAAGACCCACGGUCGAUCAUGGUUCGUGUAUGGCCCUAGAGGAAAUUUCAAAAUUUUGGGCCUACACGCUCAUGUGACCCACAUGGCCCAAGAAGUGCAACCUGUGUGGCCCACACGCCCGUGUGGUCCACAUGGCCCAAAUAGCCCAGACCAUGUGUCACACACAAUCCAGCACACCGUCUAUCACACGGCCCAUGGCCGUGUGGGGUCGAUAGUAAACUUUUUUGACUUUUGUCGAUUACUAUUUUUUUCAUGUUUUUGAUACACAAUUUCUUGUUUUCCAAUGUACAUCCUAAAAAUGAAUAAUCCUACAGCUAAACCAGCAGUUAAUCACAACCCAAAUCAGUAACGGUUCACGAAUUUAAACGAAAGUUUCUCAAAUGAACUAAUUAAAACCCUCCCAAAACACAUUCGAAACUCUUACCACUAACAAACAACAAUCACAUGAAAUUUAGGAUGCUGGAGGAUCCCCAAUUGUCUCAUGAACUUCCCCUAAAACGAAUCAAAUUAAUUAGGUAACCCAAAAUACGAAUCUUUACACCACAAUCUCGAUAUUUCAACAAAGCCAAAUGCCGAAAGAACAAUUAUAACAAAGGAAUUAAGAAAAUAAUAAAAAUAAAACCUUACCUCUGUUAAUUGAACCCAACUAAACGAAGACAAGAAAAAAAACUAACUGAAAGUGAUGGCAACAGGAGAAAGAACACAAAACAAAAUAACCAAAAAGAAACGAACAGGAGAAAAACGUAGGAAGGGAGAAAGAAAACUAAAAGAAAAAGAAAAGUAACUAAUGAAACAUGAGAAAUAGGGAAAGAAAAUGAAUAACAAUAAAAAAAAUGGACUUGAAACAGAGGAAAACGUGGGAUAUUUUGGAAAAAGAAAUUUAAUUAAUUUAUUAACAACCAAUUUAUCUUCAAAAGAAAUCAAAUCCUAUCCCACUAACUAAUCAAUAUUUUUUCCUAGAGUCUAAAUUUCAUCCAAACUCCUCCAUUAGCUUGCUAGAGAAUGAAAAAGAUAAAAUAUUUCUUAUGCAUAUAAAGACUCGAAUACAAAACCUUAAGCAGAUACGCUAAGCACUUAACAACUCAAUUAGACCAAAUCACACAACAACCUACAACAAAUCAAAACUUAAAUUUUUGGGGCCUUUACAUUAAUUGUAGCUUGUCAAGGAGUGGAUAGCUUUGUGGCUAAGGUAAAUCCAUCAUAUGAUUUAACUGUUGUUUGUUAAGCAUGAUUUUGAAUGUUUAAAUUAUGAAUACAUAUUGUUUAUUUGUUGUAAUUAGAUUAAUUAAAAUUGUAUUUAUAUGAUUAAAUUAAUAGAACAUAGCUAAUAUAACUUUAAUUAGUAAAUGAAUUCAGGAAAAAUGGUUAAUUACAAUGAAUUUUAGGUGUUUCCCAAAAUUUAUUAAAAUGAAGUUAGUAAUCAUUUAGAAUUAAAAUCGAGAUCGUUUAGUUUUAAGUGAUAAAAUGACUGAAAUACCCUUAGGGUUAAAUCCUUAAAAAUAGUUUUUAAAAUGGUUCACAAAUCAUUCCCACAAUACGAUUAGAUAGAUAUUAGUUAGAAUUGAGGUGUUAUAAAUUUGGGGUGUGUUUUGGGGUGGUUUGUGCUAAAUAGUCACUAUGAUGGCUAAUGUGUCGCUUCAGAUUCGGGUCGAUCUGUUUCGGUUGGAUUUGGGGUGUCACGUACUCAAUUGAAAUCAAUAUAUAUGUAGAGAUUAGAGUCACAACAAUCGGAGAAAGGAAAAUAAUACAAUAAUUUAUUCAAAUUGGAGAAAGUGAAUGAAUGGUAAUGAAAAAAAGUAGAAAGAAGACCCAACAAAAACCUAAAAUACGAUGAGACAAAAAGUAGGUCCAUUGAUAGUUCUAUUUUUGCAUCAAACAUGUGGUUUGAAUGAACUAUGAAAACCCACCACACAACUCAAUAAUAAAACAAAUAACAAACCAAAACCUUCCACAUUCAGAGAGACAUAUACACUCAACAACUAGUCAUGUUUUUUUUUUUUUUGCCAUGUUGAAAUAUGUAAGAAAUGGACAAAAUAACCUAAGCUCUUUAUCUUCAAUAUGUGAACUUUCUUAUUCAUUAGUUUUUUUUCUUUAGUCUUAAUCAAGAAACUUAGGGUUAUGAUUUUUCUAAAUAUUGUGAAUAAAAUUUAAGAACAACUUAUUAUUCAUGAGACAAAUAUGCAUGAGAGAAAAUGUGUUCAAAACCCAUGAGUUGUUUAAAAUUUUUAGUCUCAAAUGAUGGAUUUAAUUCCACUGAUGCUUUAGAGCUCACAAUGCUGCUUGGAAAACUACAAUAUUUGACAUUCACAAGGUCGUAUAUUUGCUCCUUUGUCAUGAAAUUAUCACAAUUCAUGCACAAUCCAUUUGGAUUACAUUAGAGAAUAGACAAACUAUUACUGCAUUACUUGCAACAAACAAAAAAUCUUAGUCUUUGAAUAUUUGAUUGUUGUGACUCUGGUGGAUCGGUCACUUUGUGUUGUCUUUGGCCUUUUAUAAUUUAAAUUCAUAAAACUUGACUCACAGUGCUAAAUUAUAUUUAAUUCGAUCCAUUUAUUUCUCUUAGUAAUUAACUAAUGUUCAUUUUAAAACUUUGUCAGUGUUGCUUCCUCUCCUUACAUUCAAUCUUGAUGCGAAUAAAGAUACAAAUUAUUAGAAAUAGUUACAAGAGAAGUCUCUUUAUUUUUCACAAAGUAUAACUAUACUUACAAAGUUACAAGAGAAAUCCCCAUAUUUUUCGAAUUUAAUGUUUAUGCAUUUUCCAACUAUGCUUCAUGAUUAAUUUAAUAAUCUUUUUAUUUUUAAAUUUAAAAGCAACAUAUUUACUAUCUUUUUGUAAUUAUCUAUAUUACUCAAAGCCUUAAAUUUAUUCAAAAUCAUUUUGAAUGAAUUACCUUUUAAGCUCACAAUCUAUUAUAUGAAUUAAAACUUAGUUCUUUUUUUUUUACAUUUAAAAAAAAUUCAAUAUUUUUAAAAACCCUCCAAAAACACAUUCGAAACUCUUACCACUAACCGAUAACAAUCUUUACACUACAAUCUCGAAAUUUUAGCAAGGACAAAUGCCGAACGAACAACUGUAACAAGAGAAUUGAGAAAAAACAAAAAAAAAACUUUACCUCUACGAAUUGAACCCGACUAAACAAAGACAAAAGAACCAAAACUAAUUGAAAGUGAUGGCAACAGGAGAAAGAACACAAAACAAAAGAACAAAAAGGAAACGAAUAGGAGAAAAACGUGGGAAGGGAGCAAGAAAAUUAAAAGAAAAAGAAAAGCAAUUAAUGAAACAUGUGAAAUAGGAAAAGAAAAUGAAUAAAAAUAAAAUAAAAACAAAAUGGACUUGAAACAGGGAAAACAUGGGAUAUUUUGGAAAAAGAAAUUUAAUUAAUUUAUUAACAAACAAUUUAUCUUCAAAAAGAAAUCAAAUCCUAUCCCACUAACUAAUUGUAUUUUUUUUUCCUAUAGUUUAAAUCUAAUCCAAACUCCUCCACCAUCUUGCUAAUGAAUGAAAAAAAUAAAAUAUUUCUUAUGCAUAUAGAGACUCAAGCGCAAAACCUUAAGCAAAUACGUUAAACACUUAAUCGCUCAAUCAAACCAAAUCACACGACAACAACUAGUAAAUUAAAACAUAAAUUUUUGGGGUGUUACAUUAAUUGUAGCUUGUCAAGGAGUGGAUAACUUUGUGACUAAGGUAAGUCUAUUGUAUGAUUUAAUUGUUCUUUGUUAAACAUGAUUUUGAAUGUUUAAAUUAUGAAUACAUGUUGUUUAUUAGUUGUAAUUAGAUUAAUUAAAAUUGUAUAUAUAUGAUUAAAGUAAUAAAACUUAGCUAAUAUAGCCUUAAUUAGUAAACGAAUUAGGGAAAAAUGGUUAAUUAAAAUGAAUUUUAGGGGUUUCCCAAAAUUGAUUAAAAGGAAGCUCGUAAUCAUUUAGAAUUAAAAUUGGGAUAGUUUAGUUUUAAGUGGUAAAAUGACUAAAAGACCCUUAGGGUUAAAUCUUUAAAAAUAGUUUCAAAAUGGUUUACAAAUGAUAAGCUAUAAAAGUAACAUAUUUUAAUCCUAUUCUUAAUGCAUUUUUAGAUGAGUAUUUAUGCAAAUUAGUGAAUUUGAUGCUCCUAACCCUUUAAAUUCAUGUUUCUAUACUUAAGAGAGCAUUUGGGAGUGAAAGCAGCAAAAAAUGAGCCAAAAUCGAACAAAUAAAGCUGUUUUCAAGAGCCACACGGCCUGGGCAUUUCCACACGGGCUGGACACACGCCUAUGUGCAAGUCUAUGUCGAUUUCGCACCUUGCUUCCCAAAUACGCGAAAAAACACAAAUUUUAGGUCUUUUGAGCAUUCUAAAGUCUAUAAAUACCACUUAGAAGAAGACAUAAGGGAGCCAUAAGAGAAGAUCAAACAAAAUACUUGAAGAACACCAUCAGAAUCAACUCGGAAGUAGAUCUCCAUCAAGAUCAAAGACCUCCUUUUAAUUUCUUCUGAAGUUUUUAUGAGUUUCUUUGUUUCUUGUGAUUUUUCUGAUUUUGAGAUGUUUCUAUUUACGAUUAUGAACUAAUUCCCUAGAUACCUAGGAAUGAUGUAACCUAUGAUAAAUCUUAUUUUUUGAUUUUUGAUUUACAUGAUAAAUACUUGAUUCUUGUUCUCAAUUAUGUAUGUUAAUUUGUUAUUUUAAUAUUUCAAGGAUAUUAAGUCAUAUUUAAUGUGCUUAAUUCAGUGGAACAAAAGUCUCUAUUAUUCAAAUCGGAGAAAGGUACAUGAGUGAGUGGUAAUGAAAAAAAGUAGAAAAAAGACCCAACAAAAACCUAGAAUACGAUAAGGCAAAAUGUAGGUCCCAUUGAUAGUUCUAUUUCUGCAUCAAACAUGUGAUUUGAAAAAAACCAUGAAAACCCUCCACACAACUCAAUAAUGAAACAAAAAACAAACCAAAACUUUCCACAUUCACACACACAUAUACACUCAACAACCAGUGAUGGUGUUUUUUUUUUUUAGCCAUGUUGAAAUAUGUAUGAAAUGUACAACUAAAGAACCUAAGCUCUUUGACUUCAAUAUGUGAACUUUCUUAUUCAUUAGUUCUUUUGUUUAGUUUUAAUCAAGAAACUUAGGGUUAUGAUUUUCUAAAUGUUGUGAAUAAAAUUUAAGAACAACUUAUUAUUCGUAAGACAAAUAUGCAUGAGAGAAAAUGUGUUCAAAGCCAAUGAGUUCUUUAGAAUUUUAGUCUCAAAUGAUGGAUUUAAUUCCACUGAUGCUUCAGAGCUCACGAUGGUCCUUGGAAAACUACAAUAUUUGACAUUCACAAGGUCAUAUAUUUGUUACUUUGUCAAUAAAUUAUCACAAUUCAUACACAAUCCAUUUGGAUUACGGUAGAGAAUAGACAAACGAUUAUUGCGUUACUUGCAACAAACAAAAAAAUCUUAGUCUUUGAAUAUUUGAUUGUUUUGACUCUAAUUUCUACAUAUAUAAUGAUGGCGAUUAUGUUGGUAUUUUAUAGUUUCACUCCAAUUAGUUGGACAUAAAAAAAAAUUACUAUUGCACAAUCUUCAACUGAAGCUGAGUAUCGUGCUCUUGUAGCUACUUUUGAAACUCUCUGAGUCAAACAUCCACUCAAAUAGCUUUAGAUGCCUUUUUAAUCCUCGUAAAAUAUUCUGUGACAAUUUUAGUGACACUCUACCUUGUCAUCAUCAUUUUCUGCAUAGCAAGAUUAAGCAUUUUGAAAUUGAUGGUCACUUUUUUAGUUUUAUAUAUUAAUAGUAAGGAACUUGAUGUUCAUCAUAUCUAUGCCACUGCCUAGUUGCCAAUAUACUCACCAAGGCUCCAAAAACAACCUUUCAUUGUAGCUAUUGACUAAGUCUUUUAAUUACAGGAUAAAUCUUAUUUUGAAUUAAUUUUUAAGCUUUAUUUUUCACCAAGUAUAACUAUAUUUACAAAGUUACAACAGAAAUCCCCAUAGUUUUCGAAUUUAAUGUUCAUGCAUUUUCCAACUAUGCUUCAUGACUAAUUUAAUAAUCUUUUUAUUUUUUAAUUUAAAAGCAACCUAUUUAUUUAUUUUUUUCAAUUAUCUAUAUUACUAAAAGUCUUAAAUUUAUUCACAUUUUGAAUAAAUUACCUUUUAAGCUCGCAAUCAAUUAUACGAAUUACAAGUUAAUUUUUUUACAUUUUUAAAAAUUCCUUUUCAAUAUUUUUUCAAAGGAAACGUUGUUUUUCGGUAUUAAUGUAAUGCAUAAAUAAUUGUAUUAACCAAUCUAUUCUUAAAAAUUACAUCUUCCUUCAUGAAAAGUCAAUUACUAUUAAAUAGUAAUCAAGUCAUUCAUCACAAAGACAAACGACCCGUUGCCACAUUUACUUUUCAUCAACAAUGUAAUGCUAAUGAGAGGAUGUUAUUUACCCAUGUCUUGGGCUAUGAAAUCCACUAUUAUGAAUGAUGCUACAUACUACAAAAGUUGUAUACCCAAGGCAAUAGCUUUCGAUUCCUUAUCUAUUUGAACUCAAGAUUUUACUUACAUUAAACUAUACGAGUCACGCAUACAUAGUUUGUCAUCCACUCAGGAUUUAGGUAUGUCACACUAUGAAUGUCACAAGUGAAUAAAUCAAUAAACGGAUUUAGGAUCUAUUCUUUUUGGGUCCAGUUCGAUGUACUGUCAGUCUAGUCAAUCACAUCUAUGUCCUAUCUUUUGGGAGUCAUCUGCUCCGAUGCCCAAGACAAAGCAUCUCCCCAAUUGGACUUGAUAGAUGACGUAUUAGUCUUUUAAUCAGUUUGCUCAUUUCCAAUUAGACUAAGGACAUGUUUAGGUUCAUCUACUAAUAUAAGAUGUCUUUUUUGUAUUACAAUCUAAGCACGCAAUACCUCUUAGCAUUAGUUUAAGCAUUAGACAACCAGUGAGACACAUGCUUCUAAUUUUCUUUGCAUGCAAAAACUAUAUAAGGACAAUUGUAAAAAGUAUUAAUGUAAUUCAUAAAUAAUUUUAUUAGCCAAUCUAUUUUUAAAAAAAUUACAAGUGUACUUUGACGAAAAUACUACACUUAGGGCACCGGAGCUAACAAACACUACAACUUCCAUUAAGGAUUUCAAAGGAUCAUACUCAAUCAGAUUUCUUCCACAUGAACCUUCAUCAUCGAUCCCCACAUUGAUGGACUCAAUUACUUUUUGGGUCCUCCUAUUGUAGACUCUAUAGGCUCUAUUAUUUGUUGCAUACCCCAGAAACACACCUUCAUCAGACUUGGAAUCAAACUUCUCUUGAUGGUCUCGAUCCUUCAAGAUAAAAUAGGUACUUCCAAAGACAUGAAAGUAUUUCACAGUUGGUUUUCUACCCUUCCACAACUCGUAGAAGGUGAAUUAAGUCUUUGGCCUUAAGUCUACCUUGUUCUUUCUUUCUACAAUUCCAUUUUGUUAAGGAGUAUUUGGAGUAGAAAACUUGUCCUGCCACAAAUUAUAGUGGCAGUUUAUGUACUUUUCGACACUUAACAAGUUUGUUUCUAGCUAUUUUAGUAUCUUUUAUUGCAUUUUAAGUUUUCUUAGCUUAGAGUUAAAUUAUUGCAAAAUAAGGGUUUUUCCGCAAUAUUUUGUGUUAGUUGACCCAUUAGUCCAAUAUCGGCCUUAAGAUAGUUAAUUGAGUGUACAUGACACCUAUUUUUAAGCCAAAAAGCAUCACGAGUGAUAGUCGAGUCGCAACAAAGCUUCCACGAUCGCAACACAACCAAACCAAUUCAAGAAUUUUACAUUCGAAGUCGUGUGUUGCGAUACAAGUCCGAUGUGGGAAAAAGAUUCAUAAAGGGUGUUUCUAUCUACACAACCUAUAUUUGGCUUCAUUAAGGCUUGUAAUUGACCUUAUGAAGCAACUAACUUUGCCUAUAAAUAGCAAGCUUAUGCUAGUAUUUUAAUAUUUUCUUUUCAAAAUAAUUUAUUUUUUUUGUUCUUCAACUUCUAUUUGAUUUGAUUCCAAGACUUUGUCUUAAAGUAUUUUUAUAAUUUUCUUUCCCUUCUUGAUUGUCAACGGUGAUAUCUCGCUAGUUGUUAAAGGAUUUCGUGAAACUGAGCACAUCCAGUUUAUCAAACGGAGCAAUUUCUAUCUCACUCUCAUUUUAAUUUAUUUGUGUGUUGUGCGUGAUUGAAUUGAUUCUAGGGAAUAUGGAAAUGGGAUUCAUGAGUAGCUAAGUCCUUUAGAGAGAUUAAAGGGCUUCCCAGACGAAUUAGCUGGUAUAAAUUUAUGUGUGCUUAAACCCUAGGAUUGACGAUCGUAAGAAGUAUCUAGGUUAAACAAGGUUGAGACAUAAGUUUGCCAAGUAAAUCGUGAGUUUAUCUCAAUCAGGAAAGUGAGGUCGAGAGAUAGGUGAGUACUAGUUAGUUAAUUAAUUAGUAGAGGUCGAGAGGUAAAACUACUUAGUUAAUAACUAAUUCACUAAUAAAGCCUAAAUUCUGAAGUUAAUUGCAACCACUGAAACAAGUUAAUAUUCUUCUUGUUCUUCAAGAGUUAUUCAUUUUUCAAGUUUGUUUUAGUAAUUUAGUUUUUACUUUAUGACCUUAAUUGUUAGUAUUAAUCAUUGUAAUAUAAUUUUUAGUGAUUAUUAUUUAGACCUGCUAUUAUAGACGAUAUUUUUAGAUUUAAUCCAGCCUCUCUUAGGUCUAAUCCUUGAAAUACUUACUGGUGUUUCGUUGUAACAGAAAACUAUAUUACAAUUUGACCUAUUCACUUGGAGAUAUCGCACUGUAAUUAUAUAUAUUUUAUUUGUAGAAUUUUUACUCUAAAUGCUCGCACAUUUGGAAGCGGUCAAAACUCAUGCUUGAUCCCUUCAUCCUCAUAGUAAACAUCAAAAUCUUUAUUUUUUAAUUCCCUUUCAUGAUCACUUCUUAUUCUUCUAGUCAUUCCAAUGACACGACCCUUUUCAUUCAUCAAGGUCUUGCACAACUUCUGACGGCUUCAAGGGUGUCUGAUUUGUCUCUAAGAAAUUUCACCCAUGUGAACCUUGAAUAGUCAUCCACACAGACUAGCACAUAUCUUUUGCCACUGAUUUUCUGUAUCUACAUAGGACUAAUAAAAUCCAUAUAAAACAGCUCUAGUGGCUCGAAUGUUUGGUCUUGAGUGACUCUUUGAUGUUUCUCCCUAUGUUGCUUACCCUUCAAGCAACUUCUAAAAACUUUAUAGACAUCACCAAUUAAUAUAGGAAUACCCCUGGCAACCUCGGACUAGAUCAACAUUUGAAGUCCUUUGUAAUGCAUGCGACCAAGUUUCUCAUGCCACAAUCCUAACUCAGAGACAAUUGCCUUAUUUCACUUCACAUACUGUAGAACUUUAUAACAAUUAUCAAAGGUCCUCUACCUUUUCAUAAUUUUAUCUUUUAUCUCGAAAGAGACUUCACAACUAUCUUUUAUGAAAUUGAUUAACAUUCUUUGGUCACAAAACUUAUUUAUACUAGUUAAUCACAAUAUUUUUUUUAUAAAAGAUAUUUUCUAAAAUUAUAUGAUAUAAAAUGUCAAAUUAAUUCCGAUGUACAAUAGGUGGAAUUAUUUUAUUAAGUCGUACAUAUAAUUUGUUGAAAAAAUUGUACUUAUAAUUUGUUAAAAUAACAUUAGGAUAAAAAUUAUAAAGGUCCAUAUGAAAAAUUAUGAAGAGAGAAUUCUUCCUCUAGCUUAGGGUACAAUGAUUAAUAUACAAUUGUUAUUAUUUCAUAAAAAAAGAUUAUAAAGGUAAUAAUUAUAUCGGUGUAAGUUAUCUCUUGUAUAUUUUACUUCACUUAAAUUCGUCGAAGCCUCCAUAUGAAAAAUUGGAUAUAUGUAUAUGUGUAUAUAUAUAUUGCCAGGGAAAUCUAAUAUGAGUAUCUUCCUUGGUCUUCAUUUUCAAAUUGCCAUGGAAAUCUACUACUCUAUGUUCAUCGCUCCUUUUACAACAAUGCUAAGCUUCUCCACCUUACUUGCUUUCAUCACUUUUGCUUUGAGUCACCUCUUUAAGCUUCAAUGGCAGCGCAAUGCCCAAAAGCCUAAACAGCCCUCUCUUCCGCCAGGCCCUAAACCUUGGCCUAUUGUGGGAAACCUCCCUGAAUUAAUCAUAAAUAAGAAGAAAACUUCGGUGUCUUAUUGGAUACACAGUUUCAUGAAAGAAAUGAACACCGAAAUUGCUUGUAUUCGUCUAGGAAAUGUUCAUGUGAUUCCCGUUACUUGUCCUGAAAUCAGUCUCCAAUUCAUGAGAAAACAGGAUGCUAUUUUUGCUUCAAGACCACUUACCAUGGCCACUGAUGUCCUCUCAAAAGGGCACUUAACCACUAUUUUUUCACCCUUAGGAGAUCAGUGGAGAAAAAUGAAGAGAGUUAUGGUCAGCGAGAUGCUUUCACAUGAAAGACAUCGAUGGCUUCACGAGAAAAGAGUUGAAGAAGCUGAUAACCUCGUGCGUUACGUACUUAACCAAUGCAAAAAUGGUGAUGAAGGCGGCCUAGUGGACUUAAGACUGGUUGCCCGACACUAUUGUUGCAAUGUGAUAAAAAAGUUGAUCUUUAAUCGAGGGUACUUUGGAGAAGGGAAAGCAGAUGGUAGACCUGGUUUUGAGGAAGAAGAAUACGUCGACGCCAUUCUCGCUUUAGUCAUUCAUCUUUAUUCCUUUUGUAUAUCCGAUUACUGGCCAUUUUUGAGAGGCCUCGACCUGGAGGGGCAUGAGAAAAUCGUGGAGGACGCCACUAGGGUUCUAGAGAAAUAUAACAAUCCCAUUAUUGAAGACAGGAUUCAACAAUGGAGAGAUGGCAAGAAACAUGAACCUCAAGACUUGCUUGAUGUUUUGGUUUCUUUAACGGAUGACAAUGGUACCCCACUACUGUCCGCGGACGAGAUCAAAGCUCAAGUAAAUGUACGUCUUUCCUUCUCUUUAAUUGUUUUUGAACAAAAUAUAAGCCACCAACAUGUUAAUGUUUAUUAAAAAUGGAUUACUAAGACAUGACAAUAACAUAAAUAUGAUAUAAUAUACACGUGUCAUCAUAGAAAAUCAGCCCUGUAUAUUGAUAGUCUCUUUUUCAACUUAAUUUUCAGGAAAUUAUGAUUGCUGCAGUGGAUAAUCCAUCAAAUAACUUAGAAUGGGCACUUGNNNNNNNNNNNNNNNNNNNNNNNNNNNNNNNNNNNNNNNNNNNNNNNNNNNNNNNNNNNNNNNNNNNNNNNNNNNNNNNNNNNNNNNNNNNNNNNNNNNNGGUUAAUACAAGAAUCUGAUGUCCCACAACUUAACUUUACUAAGGCAUGCGCCAGAGAAGCCUUUAGACUCCAUCCUGUUGCAGCAUUUAGCCCUCCUCACGUGUCCGUGACUGAUACAACAGUGGGCGACUACUUCAUUCCUAAGGGUAGCCAUGUGAUAGUUAGUCGGGUUGGGCUUGGUCGAAACCCUAAAGUUUGGGACGAGCCAUGCGAGUUCAAGCCAGAACGUCACCUCCAGAAUUGUAAUAAAGGCGAAGAAGUGGUGCUUGAAGAGCCAGAUUUGCGGUUGUUUACAUUCGGUAGAGGAAGGAGAGGGUGCCCUGGAGUGGUGCUUGGAAGCUUGAUGACUACCAUGCUGUUUGCGAGGCUAUUGCAAGGAUUCGAUUGGAGCAUCCCGACUAACCAGGGAACCAUUGAUCUUUGUCCAGGAAGGGGAGUUCCCUUUCUGGCUAAACCACUGCUUGCUGUUGCAAAGCCACGAUUGCCACCGCAUGUCUACUCUUUCUUAACUGAAAGUGAAAUACAGUGAUUAACUCCUUGACGAAGAUGGGGGUUGACAAGGGAGACCUGUUUGUGGCUUGGUUCUAAUGAAAUUGUUUUUAUCCCUAGUAUGUAUUUCCUGUUGUAGCUUAUUUCGGUGUUUGUAUGGGGUGUACUCACUUCAGCAACUUCUUAUGUAUUGUUUUCUCAUUAAUAAAAAUGGAUAAGCAGUUAGUAGCUGAUGUAUUGCUUUCCAUGUAACUUCAUCAAUGCACAUGAUAAAGUUUUUCAAUCGAGCUUUCCAAUAGGCAUGGUUCGAAGAGCCAACGAGAAGAGAUGCUCGCAUAAUAGAACUUCCUUCUUUCAUAACUUCCACGGUAGAAAACUGUAGUAGGAUCAUAUUCAACCAACUCUUGAAGCUUGCUUUGGUACCAUUUGGAAAAAAAAAAAAAAAAAGUCAGUUUGUUGUAAUUUUAACCAGACUACUCAAGUAUGUGUUUUGUCACAGGAUUCAACAGACAACGAAACAAAAACCAGAAUAGAGAAAGUAAUAAGAGAUUUUGCAUGCAAUAAUUUGUUAACGCAGUUCGGAAAUAAUUCUAUUUUGCCAAGACUUGUUUAGUGAAUGAUUCUUAUUCAACAAUCUUUCAUAUUACCUAUUGGUUUAAACCCAAUCUAUCCUUACACAAAAAAGUAAUUGCAACCCCAACACCAAUUAUUACAAAUCACUCACCCCAACUAACCUCGCUUACAUCAAGUAUAAACUCGAAUAAAAGCCUAACACAAGAGUGCAAAAAUACCAAAUAAUCUAUUUAUAGGCUAAAAUCGACAUCUUUUCCAAAUAGUCUUGAUAAAGUAAAUCCAUCAAUUUUAAUUUGAAUAUAUCUUCUGGAAUUAUCUCAAAUAAUUAUCCCAAAUUUUAGUACAAUUAAUCUCCUUAAAAUCAACCCAUAAAUCUGUCAAGAUAAGUACAAAGGAUAAGCACAAGUCUUAUCCACAAAAUUAAGUAAAUCUUAACUUCUUUAAAUUUCCAAAUUGAACCAUGACUUUGAUUUACAAUAAAUCUCAUCCAUAAAUUAGGUUCUAGAAGUUCAUUUUCUUGUGGAAACAUCACAUAAAAAGGCUCAAGUCAUAUAAAUCAAUAAAACAUUCAGGUUAUCCCAACGUCUUGAUCAAAUCUUAACUGAUCAAGUGACUGGUCUCAACCAUCAAAUUCUCAAUGCUUGGACAACCUUGGUCUUAAUAUUUUUGGUAAAACCAUUUCUUCCUAUUGCAAGGCCACGAUUGCCACCUUUAAGUCUACUUUUUUAGGGAGUAAAUGAAAGAGAAAGAAAGAGAAACACAGUGAUGUUACAAGGAAUAAAAUAAAGUAUUAAUUUUAUUACCCACAUUUGUUAAUAAAAAAUAAAAUCUCAGCUCGUAAGGUUGGGUUGAUCAUUUGUACACUAUUUUUUAUUGCCACAAAAUAUUAUGUUAAUUAAAUGUAUUUUAAAUAUUUUUCAAAAAAAAAAAAGGAUAUUAAUUAUUGUAUUGUACCAAUCGACUAUUUGCAUUGGCCCCUAUGUAUAUCCAUUUUGGAGAGUGUUUUCAAUCAUAAGGAAUUGUUGUGGAAGCAAAAGGCUUGUUGUGGCUAGCUUCAUUUUGGUGAUCAUAAUACUAAAAUUUUCAUAUUCAUACGAUUCAGAGGAGAAAGUUAAAUCGUAUUACUGCUCUAAAGGUUGGUAACGAUGAAUAGCCCUUUGAUUAGGAUACUUUUCAAGUUGAGGCUUUUGGUUUCUUUCAGAAACUUCAUGGAGAAGCCCUGGAACGCAUGAAUAGGCCUCUAUUAGCAUUUUUCCUCGCCUUAACUCUUUGGACAUUGUUUUUUCAAUUAAGGCUAUCACAAAUGAAGAAAUUAAGUUGACACUAUUUGGCAUGGCGUCUUUGAAGGCCCUGGGAAAUGAUGCCUUCUAUGUUUUAUUCUUUCAAAAUCAAUGGGAUGUUGUUGGUAAUGAUGUUUGUGAGUGGGUCAAAAUGGUGUUUGUAGGUAAAGCCAUUGAUCUGGACUUGAAUAAUACUUUGAUAGUUCUGAUCUCUAAGUUAACGAAUCCUGAAAACUUUUCUCAAUUUCGACUGAUUAGUCUAUGCUCUAUUCUCUACAAAUUGGUCAUGAAAGUUAUUGCUAAUCUUUUCAAGGUAGCCUUUCCUAAUUUUAUUGCACAAGAGUAGGUAGGGUGUAACACCGUCUACUUGACCUGGAUCACCAGAUCCGGAUACCGGAUUUUACAACACUUAAACACUUCAUCAAAUUUUAUACAACAUAUGUAAACUAUUUCUAAACUUACAUCAUAAUACUUAUGUACUGUUCUUUGAUGUAAAAGACAAUAUCCAGUAAUUACAUUAACUUAUUACUCAGUGUACAACCUACAACAUAAGAUUUUAUUAAAAAUAAACUCUUUAAGGCAUGUUAUACUAUACGCCAUACUCUUAUGAUGUCCUUUGUAUGCAUAUUCGCCCAACUCGUUAUUAUCAUGGCGUACUCCUGGCUUGAUCCCCUCCUGGUGAACUCACUCUUAUAGCAAGACCUGAAACAUGAACAAACAAUUGUAGGUUGAUGUGAACUUAGUGAGUUUUUAUCACUGAAUAACUUGAAGCUUUUCUAGUUAAACUCCACAUCUUGAAGAAUUUGGAUCACACCUCUAUCUUUGGUAGGUACUUUCAUAAUAUAAAAUAUAUUCUUAUACGCCAACUUUCAUUGUUAAUGUAACGAUUCUCAAUUUUUUUCUUGGCUAACCACAAAUCUUAUCAGAUGAUAUAUAUAUGUCACAUCUCAACCAGGCUGAUUUGAAUAGAAGGCGUGCAAAAAUGAAGUUUUUUGUUCUAACGCACUCUAAUAGUUAGUUCACCAACUUUUAACAUCUGGUGAAUUAAUGUUUUGGCAAGUAGAGUAUUCGCCCAUAUAAAUACUUCAAAUUUAGUUCUCAUAGUAUUAUUUAAUUAAAGAAAGAAUUUGACAAACUGAGGGUAAGCCUUCUACAGGUUACCACAAAAAGUAUAGUACACAUGGUUUCCCUGAGCACUGUGCUAACUAGGUUGGUAAUGUGAUAUGGUUAGGAGUUAAUUGAAUUGUUAGGUCACAUAAAAAUUCUAUAGGACUCUCAUUUAUGUUUCAGUUGGAUCUUGUAGGUAAUUUAUUACGACAAAUUCUGGAUAUAAUUAACACUAGUCAAGUUUCACUAAACUGGACUUGAUAUAUAUAUGGUGAGAAGGGUUUGUCUAGAAGAUUUUUCUUCUUUUAACACUAAUCUCUGGUUCUUCUUCUUAAACUUAUAUGUUUCUUCUCCUUUAUUAAGUUGGAAGCAAUGGUUUUUGAAUUAAUGAUUAGAUGUUCCACCUCCUAGUAAAUCUGAUAGCUCUACAUAUUAAGUUUUUGAAAGAAUAAGAAUAUUAAAAAGCAUAUGAACAGUGAAUUAUGAAUAAGAAACCCUACAUGAGGGUCAUAUAUAAUUAAGAUGUUAACCAUUUAUUUUUCAAUAGGUUUUAAUAGUAGUUUUAUGUUCUUUAAGCAGUUGUUGUUGUUGUUCAUAGGGAUGUUCAAGUUUAGAACUGCAAGCUAUAGUCUAUGUGAGUAUCAGGUGAGUCUCUAUCUUAUCUUAUGUAUGUGAAUUGUUCAAUUAGUAACAUGUAAGUUUAUCUCAUCUUAGAUGAUUGGUAAGCAUGCUUAUGAGAUCUUAUAUGAAAAAGUAAGAACCAUUUAACUAUGCAAAUAAAUCUAGGCAAGUAACUACUGAGUAAAACAUUCAUUUUUUAUGCCUCAGGUGGGGCAGCACACGAUGUGGAGAUGCGUAAGUCCAUGUGGUAGAGGCACAUGGCAUCUUAUAACAAUGAAUACAUUCAUUGUUUUGACUCUAGUAAGAUGAAGAUUAGACUGGUAGAUCAUGACAUGAAGAUAUGUAUAAGUCUAUGAAGGAGAAACCUAUGACGUUUUCUGUGAAAGUCCACUGGGACAAUAAACAUCUGAUUCUAUUUUUUUCUGAGUGGCGUGAUAUGCUAAGCCUUAGUGGUGUAUCUUGUGUUGUUUUUGUGGCAAAUUAUGAAACACCUAUGUGGCAUAUCUGGGAAUACCUUUGUGGCAGAAUUUGAUUAUCUACCUUUGUCGUAAGUACUGAGGUUUCUUCGAUAAAUGAAUCAAGGGUAAAUAUCUGAUGGAAAUGAUUAGUCUUGUGAUGAAACUGAAUUUUUCUAAAAGGGAUGACUACUGAAUGAAAGUAUGUUUCUGUAUUUCUAAAAAAAGGAAUCCACCAUAGUAGUCUGUCAGUAUAGGUUAUAGGCAUGUUCAUGUUGUGAAAGGUAUAGGUUCUCAUUAGCUUGAAUUUGUUUACGCUAUAUAAGACUAAAAUCUAAUUCAUCUAGUAUAUGUCAUAUUUGAGUAGUAUCAUGUCUCUUUCUAAGGAUAUUUGGAAUCUAGGUCAUUGCCAAUCUGGGCAUUCUUACGUUAUGUAACAUAGACAUUUGGAAUUCAUUUCUAUGAUCUAAAACGUUUCCUUAUCAGUAUGAGCAUGUGUUAGGUUUGAGUCAGAAUCUGAUCUAGUUUAUAGUAUAGUAAUUAUCAAACUUAGUAUAAGAAUCUGCCAAAUGUAAGAUCUGUAAGUGUUAUCUGCCAAGAGAGAGAGUAUCUGUGAACAACCAUUCUAAUAUAAAGGAUAUAUGUUGUCGAAGGGUAAAAUCGUAGAAAGUGGGCUUUGUAUAGAUAUCUUUUUGAGAAGUAUCUGCAUUGUUUUAGGAGAAGAGAAGAUGUAGUUAUCGUCUGGUAAGAUCUGGAAUUAACUAAGUAGUAAAAUGAGAGUUGAUACGAUAAGUAUGGUUGAUGGUAUAUAUGUGUAUAUAAAUCAAACAUUAUGAGGGUGUUCACCAAACACAGAUGAUAAUCUAAAUAUUCAUGAUGAAGAUUUGGUCUAAAAAAGGCUUCAAGGUAUUUUGUAUUCAGGCUUACUAUGUUCAUGUAAACUUAUAGGCAUUUUGUUCAUGUUUCAGGUAAAUCACUAGAUAAGUGUUUGAGAUGUACCUCGCUCGUUGCAUUUACUCGCCCAGCUUCCCAGUUUCCAUCACCACUUUUCCCUAAAAGUUUGAUGGACAACCCACCUCUCUCAUAGGUGGUAGCCUCAUUGUUGACUCAAUAGGCUUCAUAUCGGUUUGUCGCACCUCUAGCCUUUCCAAUGAGGUCUCUGUAACACUCCAAUCUACCGAUUCAAUGUUCUUCCUACAAUAAACAUCUUCGACUAGCUGGAUUGACGAUAGUACCUUGAUUCCUCCCCUCUUGUCUUAACUCAUCGACACAACAAAUUGUUGUGGUCGAGCAUUCAAGAUAAAACUGCAAUUGGCAAAAGGAAUCAACAAAUCAUUAAUUUUUUAAAGAAAUUCAAGCUAAGCAUGAAGUUGUAAUCAUCUAAGUGAAUUACCUCAAAGUUUUCUUUUUCUUUCCAUUGACCGAUUUACAGCUCAACUCCUUAUGCUACUCCCACAAUUAGGACCUCUUUGGAAUUAACAGUCUUGAUCUUUUUGGUUGAUUUGCUAAUUGAGAAACCAAGUUUACCCAUAAUUUUUUGGAUAUGAAUAAGUUAGAUGCCCCCGCAUCAACAAGACCAUUCUUCCUUUGACCUGCGAUGUUAAUGUCAACAUACAUCAACCUUUUCUACUUUUGAUCCCUUUACGUCUUCACAGAAUUGAGUAUCAUUAACCCAAGCUUUAAAGCCUCACUCUCAACAGGCUUCGCUUUAUUCUUUUUAUUGAUCACGAACAUCUUGGAUUGCUUUGGACAUUUUGCAUCCUAUGUGGACCAUAGUACAAGAAGCAUUUCACUGGCUUCUUUUCAUUCUCUUUGAACCUCUUGCCUUUGUUAGAACACACAAGUAAACUAAGUCUCACCAAUGCUCUAUUUGGUUCAUCGUCCCCUUUGACGGCAAAAAGCACAAAUUUCUUUAGAUAGUUUGUCACCAUAUGUAGACUAUCACAAAAGAAGCAUUUCACUAGCCCCUUCGGUUUGUAGUUGGGCUACCACUUCCCAUUAAGUGGCUUCCCAUUGCCACCAUUCUUACCAUUUCCAUUUUUAACUUGUCCCUCUUCCUCAUGGUCUCCUCUACCAUUUCCCAUCUUUUUAGGCUUGAAAGACUCAAACUUGUUUUUCUUCAAACCAAGCUCGACAAAGAAUUUUGCCUCAACUAUGGCUACAAUAAGCUCAGUGAUACCUUGUCGAUGAUCCUCUUACUUCGCCCAAUGCUUCAACCUAUAUUUAAACUAGUAGAAUGUUUUUUUUCUCACUUAGGUCAAAGAUUUGAAGCAUCAAUUCACUAAAGUCUCUAACAUACUUUCGAACAUUGCCUUGUUGUGUAAGUUGGCGCAACUUAGCCCGAACCUCCUUUUCAACAUACUACGGGUAAAACUAUUUCUUCAGUUCUUUCUGGAACUCCUCCCAAGUACCAAUUGCAGUACCACAUUAUCUCUCGUCUGUAGACCUAUGGCGCCACUACAAAAUAAGGACAUCAGUAAAAUAAACUGCAACGGUGUUUACCUUAGUGCCAUCAUCCUCAAUGCCCAUUACACAGAAGUGUUGUUCAAUUCCCUAGAGAAAAUUGUUCAUAUCUCUUCCGAACAUCAUCCCCUUAAACUCUUUCUGCUUGGGGACAUACAUUUUGAGCUGCUUAGGAACUGAAGCCAACAUCCAAUUUCCCAUAACAACUCUACACACAGUGAGCUCUCUCUCAAGCUUCUGAAUUUUUUACAUCGUGGCCUAAGUUUCCUCCUUCAGGCCACAAUCGAAGCUUCAAGAACAUCAUUACUCUUGUCAGCUUCUCGAUCUGAUCACCCAUGGCAACAUUGAGGGCCUUGUUAAUCACAUCCGUAUUGGCACUAAGAUUCUCUGCCACAAAGUCCUUAAGCUGAACUCUGAUUGAGUCUAACUCAUCGAUGUGUCCCUAAAUUACCUUAAGUGUUUCCUUCACACUACCCAUAGACUUCUUAAGAUUGUCACCGGACCUUCCAAAGCCGACAGCAUAUCCCUUGAUCUGUUUUUUUCUUGGACCUCUCACGAGUCUCCAUCAGGACAUUCUACUCGUCCCUUCAUUUCAUCAUCCUAAUCGAUGCCUCCAAACACUAGUUCUAAUACCAACUGUCAUAGGGCUAGAACUUUAGUUUGGCAAACCGCGUGGGUUCAAAUCCUACCUAAUUUUAGCCUACUCUCGAAAAAUGAAAAUUCUAAUAGAAAUUCUGUAAGGAACCGAAGCAAAGCGAAAGCAAACUUGAAAGACAAAAGAAGCUACAAACGAACAAAAAGCCACAGAAAAAUAACGUACACCAAGUGUUUGAGUAAAUGUUCUCAAAAGUAUUCUAUUACUUUGAAGGUUUACAACUGAGUGAUUACAAAUGAGGGGGAAUAUCUCUGUUUAUAGUUGAGCUCUCCCAAAUUCAACAUUACAAAUUAAGUUACAUAGAUGGUCAAGAUUUGUGCCUAUCUACAAGAUGAGAGUCCCAAAGGAUUUAAGCUCUAUACGUCUUUAUCCCUUAUGAUUUGUAUUAAUUAUCUUGGUAACUCUAGUUUUACUAAUGCUUUUCACUGGACCAUCAAAACUUUAAGUAAAUAGGCUUCUCCAUAUGUUUCACUGUGUGCAAUAGUUACGGGUUUGAUCCACGACCCAUAAGACUUACACCUUUUAAAUUUUAGAAAAAAAAUGUACUAACCUCUAAAAUUUAUUUAUUAAAUGAGUUUGAAAUAAAAGAAUAACAUUACCUUUAUCAAUUAACUAUUAUUCUAUUUUAUUAUUAUCCUCAAUUUUUAAUUAAUAUAAUAAAAUUAAUUAGUUAUAAAAAUAUUUUGAUUAUUAUUAAAUUAAAUUGUAAAUAUAAUAUUAUUCUAAUAUGAUCACAUGUUAAAUAUAAUAUAUUAUUCUAUUAAUAUAUGUAACAAAAUUUUUAAAAUUACAAGCAUAAUCACAAUUAAAAAUAUUAAAAAUACAUCGGAAUAACUAUAACUUAAAUAUAUCAUCUUAAAACGUAAUCUAAAAUAUUUUAAAAGAAUUUAUUACUAUUUAAUAAAUUUAUUACCAGAAUAAACCAUUUGAAAGCAAUGUCUCUAAACAUAAAACUUCUUUAAACAUAAAUAAUCACCAUUGCACUGAAAAUCUGACAAAGCUGAAAAUACAGUAUGGUAUCUAAUGAAAUUGAGAAUUUCCAGUAUUUCAUCUUAUGCGUUGAAAAUAUAGUUAAUAUAUUAAUACACUUUAUUUAAUUUAAUACUCAGUUCAAACACUCCAAUAAAUGUUUGGUACAUAUAUUUUAGUAAAAAAAUAUGUAGUUAACUGCGAUAAAAAAUAAAAUUUAAGUAAAUUGAAUAUUAAAAUUAAAUUUGAAUAUUUAAAUGAGACAAAGAAAUAUAUUUGCCCAAAAAAAAAAAUCAUACCAAUAUCUCAUUCCUCCCGUGCCAGCGGCCCCUUUAACAGAUUAGCCUCAACAUCACGUUCCUCAAGUAGAAUGAGUGCAUCAAUAACGAAUUUUUUAGCAGAAUUAACUCUAAAACCGAUAACUUGCCUAGUUCCCACAUCAAAGAAACCUCCAUACUCAAAGUUCUUCGGCCAAACGAGUUGAGAUCCAUCAUUGCUUCAUUUCUUUUGAAUUUCCAUCACUAUGUUUUAGUACAUGCCAAGAGCCCAUGUCUUCAACAAGCGUCACUUUCUAUAUUUGGCCUGGAUAAUUUUAUUUCUAUUGGGAAAAGAGAAUCUCAUGUUACAUUGUACCAUGCAAUAUUGUCUUCAAGCUCAAAGACUUUUGGGUCUGCAAACUAAGCUAAUUAGGCCCAACGUCUAAAUUGCACCUCAAAUCCCCAACCAUAAUCUGAACAUGGCCUACUUCAUCAAAUUGGCUCUACAAACAAAGUUCAUUAGGCCCAACAUCUGGAUUGCACCUCAAAUCCCUGAACCAUAAUCUGAACAUGGCCAACUUCACCAAUAUUUAUAUUAGGCUCAUAUCAGCAUCAUGCUCAUUCAAACCCAUCACAGUUUCUGCCCAUUCCAAAUUUCCAUCCCUCCUAUUGUUACCUACCUCAUCAUCCCUCAUAGAAUCUAGCCGAACUUAUUUUGAGACCUAUAGCAGUAUAGUUCAUUCCAUUAAAAAAUAUAUAGAGCCUUUUUUUGAAAAAAAUUUCACUUAAUGAAAAAACCUUUAUUUUCUUAAAUUGUGCACUUGUUAAGUUUUCCUUUUUAAGAUUAUUCGUGAAAAUGAUUUCAUUUUUCCCUUUAAUUCGUGCUGUAUCAUCAACUCAUAAUUAAAAAGUUUAAACACCACCCAAUUUGAGAAGAAGAAAGAGCUUGAGGUUGUUGCAACCAAUGUUGUUCAAUUAAUUAUUAGAAAUUAUAUAAUUUAGAGGUGAUUUUUGGUUUUCUUUUUUAAUAUUGUGAUUCUAAAACUCAAACCGAAAAUUUAUAAUUAAAUUGCUAUGAUAAGCUCAAUCAUAGAGAAAGUGGGCAUCUUUUAUACGGGGAAUUUCUCUAGGAUUAGAAUCUCCUGAGUGUAAUGAGACAAAUAUACGGUAAGUAUAAGAGUUACAGAAUUGUCGAGUAGUUUGGUUGUUGUUUAUAAAAUCCUACACUAUUAUUAUAUGUAAAAUGAGACAAAUAUAUGGUAAGUAUAAGAGUUUAAUAAUUGUCAAGUUGUUUAUCAAGUCCUACACUCUUGAUACGAGUAAAAUGAGACAAAUAUACGGUAAGUAUAAGAGUUCAAUAAUUGUCAAGUUUUUUUUUCAAAUAAUAAUUGUAAGAAUUUUCAAGGUUUAAUUAUUUUAAAAUGUGUUAAAUAAUGAUAUUACAGUUUUUAAUUAAUACAAAAAUUUCACAGAAAAUAUUGAAAAAGAAUAAGUGGAUAGUUACGCAUUCCUUAAUGUUGAAAUCCUUAAAAAAUCAUAUUUGAAAUAAAUGAUCUCUAUUUUAAGUAAAAAAAAAACUUAUAUUCAGUUUUUACCCAAAACCAUCCUAAUAAUAUAAAAUAUUAUAUUUUUAGAUUAAAAUUAAAAAAAAAUCAACUUUUACUUUUAACAAGAAAUGACGUUUAAUAUGGGACAAUGGACAUCGGAGUUGCACCUGGUAGUAUUUCAAUCCCAAACUCAACCUCCCUAUCUUGAGGUAAUCCCGAUAACUCCUCAGGAAAGCCAUCAAGGAAGUCCCUAACAAUAUGAAUUCCUUCCAUAGCUGAAUCCACCUUACUCAUAUCAUGCACAUAUGCCAAAUAUGCAUCACACCUCUUUCGAAUUAGCUUUUCAACUGCCAGAGCGAAAAUCACAUUAGAUAAAUAAUCUCGAAGCUUACCAACCAUCACAGCCUCCACAUCAUCCCCAACUUUGAAGGUCACUCUCUUAGACUCACAGUCCAGUCUAACUCGAUGCUCCACUGUUAUUAUAUGUAAAAUGAAAAUGGAUUGAUUUUUUCCCUUUAAUUCGUAAUGUAUUAUCAACUCAUAAUUAAAAAGUCUAAACACCACCCAGAUUGAGAAGAAGAAAGAGCUUAAGGUUGUUGCAUUUAAUUAUUAGUUUCCAAUGUUGUUCAAUUAAUUAUUAGAAAUUAUAUAAUUUAGAGGUGAUUUUUGGUUUCUUUUUUAAUAUUGUGAUUCUAAAAUUCAAACCGAAAAUUUAUAAUUAAAUUGCUAUGAUAAGCUCAAUCAUAGAGAAAGUGGGCAUCUUUUAUACGGGGAAUUUCUCUAGGAUUAGAAUCUCCUGAGUGUAAUGAGACAAAUAUACGGUAAGUAUAAGAGUUACAGAAUUGUCGAGUAGUUUGGUUGUUGUUUAUAAAAUCUUACACUAUUAUUAUAUGUAAAAUGAGACAAAUAUAUGGUAAGUAUAAGAGUUUAAUAAUUGUCAAGUUGUUUAUCAAGUCCUACACUCUUGAUACGAGUAAAAUGAGACAGAUAUACGGUAAGUAUAAGAGUUCAAUAAUUAUCAAGUUUUUUUUUUCAAAUAAUAAUUGUAAGAAUUUUCAAGGUUUAAUUAUUUUAAAAUGUGUUAAAUAAUGAUAUUAUAGUUUUUAAUUAAUGAAAAAAAAUUCACAGAAAAUAUUGAAAAAGAAUAAGUGGAUAGUUACGCAUUCCUUAAUGUUGAAAUCCUUAAAAAAUCAUAUUUGAAAUAAAUGAUCUCUAUUUUAAGUAAAAAAAAAAACUUAUAUUUAGUUUUUACCCAAAACCAUCCUAAUAAUAUAAAAUAUUAUAUUUUUAGAUUAAAAUUAAAAAAAUCAACAUUUACUUUUAACAAGAAAUGACAUUUAAUAUGAGACAAUGGACAUCAGAGUUGCACCUGGUAGUAUUUCAAUCCCAAACUCAACUUCCCUAUCUCGAGGUAAUCCCGAUAACUCCUCAAGAAAGCCAUCAAGGAAGUCCGGAACAAUAUGAAUUCCUUCCAUAGCUGAAUCCACCUUACUCAUAUCAUGCACAUAUGCCAAAUAUGCAUCACACCUCUUUCGAAUUAGCUUUUCGACUGCCAAAGCGAAAAUCACAUUAGAUAAAUAAUCUCGACGCUUACCAACCAUCACGGCCUCCACAUCAUCCCCAACUUUGAAGGUCACUCUCUUAGACUCACAGUCCAGUCUAACCCGAUGCUCCACUGUUAUUAUAUGUAAAAUGAAAAUGGAUUGAUUUUUUCCGUUUAAUUCAUAAUGUAUCAUCAACUCAUAAUUAAAAAGUCUAAACACCACCCAGAUUGAGAAGAAGAAAGAGCUUAAGGUUGUUGCAUUUAAUUAUUAGUUUCCAAAGUUGUUCAAUUAAUUAUUGGAAAUUAUAUAAUUUAGAGGUGAUUUUUGGUUUUCUUUUUUAAUAUUGUGAUUCUAAAACUCAAACCGAAUAUUUAUAAUCAAAUUGUUGUGAUAAGCUCAAUCAUAGAGAAAGUGGGCAUCUUUUAUACAGGGAAUUUCUGUAGGAUUAGAAUCUCUUGAGUGUAAUGAGACAAAUAUACGGUAAGUAUAAGAGUUACAGAAUUGUCGAGUAGUUUGGUUGUUGUUUAUAAAAUCCUACACUGUUAUUAUAUGUAAAAUGAGACAAAUAUAUGGUAAGUAUAAGAGUUUAAUAAUUGUCAAGUUGUUUAUCAAGUCCUACACUCUUGAUACGAGUAAAAUGAGACAAAUAUACGGUAAGUAUAAGAGUUUAAUAGUUGUCAAGUUUUUUUAUCAAAAAAUAAUUGUAAGAACUUUCGAGGUUUAAUUUUUUAAAAUGUGUUAAAUAAUGAUAUUACAGUUUUUAAUUAAUACAAAAAUUUCAUAGAAAAUAUUGAAAAAGAAUAAGGGGAGAGUUAUGGAUCCCUUAAUGUUGAAAUCCUUAAAAAUCAUAUUUGAAAUAAAUGAUCUCUAUUUUAAGUAAAAGAACAAAAAACUUAUAUGUAGUUUUUACCCAAAACCAUCCUAAUAAUAUAAAUAUUAUAUUUUUAGAUUAAAAUUAAAACAUCAACAUUUAGUUUUAGCAAGAAAUGGCAUUUAAUAUGGGGCAAUGGACACCGGAGUUGCAGCUGGUAGUAUUUCAAUCCCAAACUCAACCUCCCUAUUUGGAGGUAAUCCCGAUAACUCCUCAAGAAAGACAUCAAGGAAGUCCCUAACAAUAUGAAUUCCUUCCAUAGCCGAAUCGACCUUACUUAUAUCAUGUACAUAUGCCAAAUAUGCAUCACACCCCUUUCGAGUUAGCUUUUAGCUGCUAGAGCGAAAAUCGCAUUAGAUAAAUAAUCUCGACGCUUACCAACGAUCACAGCCUCCACAUGAUCCCUAACUUUGAAGGUCACUCUCUUAGACUCACAGACCAGUCUAACCCGAUGCUUCACUAACCAAUCCAUACCCAAGGUUAGGUCGAACCCCUUGAAUGGCAACUCUAUCAAAUCAGCUGGAAAUACUUACCCCUAAACCUCAAGCGAACACAUCCUAUAAACUUUACUAAAUCGAAUAGAUUGAACCAAAGGACUAAUCAUUGAAAGUUCAGAACUAGUGUCCACAGCCAGAAUCCCCAAAUUACUCAUUAUACUACUAGAUACAUAAAAGUGCGUAGAUCCACAAUCAAUAAGUGCAAAACAUGAUAAAGAAUGUAUAGCAAACAUAUCAACAAUCACAUCAAUCGUAUCUUUGUCAUCACGGCGCCACGUCACGUAAACCGAAGUUGACUGCCUGGCCUCAGCCUGUCCUGCAACUCUGUCUGGUGUUGUCUAACCACAUCCACCGCCAUUAACCUUCUAAUCUAACCAUGGCCCCUAACAGAUUGCUAACCUACCAUCUGGGACGAAAUCUGACCCUGAACUGGAGCCCGCCCUAGCUCAAUAAUAAGGGGGCACUCACCAAUGUUAUGCCCCACAGUCCCAUACCUAACGCAAGCCCUAGUCCUCCUCCAACAGUCACCCGGAUGGCGUCUAUUACAAUAACCAGAAAUUAUAACCUGCUCAGCUCUAGCAACCAGUACAACUCUGGCAGCUGACUCUGUCUGCAAAUUUUUAUCAUACCUAGCCCGUUUCAUGGGCCUUUGAGAAGAACUAGAAGGACCCGAAUCCCUCUUGUUCUUGUUCUGACUUUUCUCUUGCUCUCUCUUUUCACGCUCAGUGUGCUUAACCUAUUCAACUAUCUUUGUCUUGUCCACCAAGGCUAUAAAAACCCGUUCCCUCUUAGGAGCUAUCAAAACCUUGAGAUCAUACCUCAAGCCCUCCUCGAAACGUAUGUUCUUUUCUUAAUCAUUAGCAACCAACCUUCGAGCAUAACCAUUAAAACGUAAAAACUCGGCCUCAUACUUGGCUACCGAUUUAUCCCCCUGAUUUAACCUCAUAAAAUCGCAUUUAUGGGUAUCAACAUAGCUUGCCCCCACAUAUUUACUCUGUAAGGCAUUUCAAAAAUAAUCCCACUUCAGCUAUUCAGGCUGACUACCUCCUGCACAAUCAAACACCACUGGUAUGCCUUAUCACAAAGCAAGGUUACCACACCCUUCAAUAUCUACUCAGGGGUGCAAUCUAAAUCAUUCAUUAUCCUUUCUGUGGCUUCAACCAUACCACACCACAAUUUUGCAACCUGCUUCCCAAACACGCAAAAAAGCACAAUUUUUAGGCUUUCUAAGCAUUCUAAAGUAAAUAUAAGAAGGGAGAUGGGAGCCAUUAAAGAAAAUUGAAGAAAAUAAUUGAGGAACACCAUUAGGAGCCAACUCAGAAGUGAAUCUCCAUCAAGAUCGAAGAUCUCCUUUUCAUUUCUUUCAAAGUUUUUAUGAGUUUCUUUAUGUUUUGUGGUUAUUCUGAGUUGGAGAUGUUUUCAUUCAGGAUUAUGAACUAAUUCCCUAGAUAUUUAGAGAGGAUGAAACUGAUGAUGAAUUUUAUUAUUUAAUUUCUAUUUUACGUGGUAAAUACCUGAUUCUUGUUCUCAAUUAUCUGUGCUUAUUUCUUAUUUUAAUAUUUUUGGGAUAUUAAUUAAUGUUUAAUGUGUUUAAUUCAGUGGAGGAAAAGUCUUAAUUUAAGAGUAGUUCUAGCACAAUUGAUUGGAGUUGUAUGCAAUCCUUGAAGUAAGACGACAUAAAUUUACCGGAUUAAAGUCAAAUAUAAUAAGGGAAUCCAUAGAUCGAAUUAAUAAGAUGAUAGGGGCUUUAUUUAAAAAGAGAUUUCAAUUAAUCAACCUAAAGUCAGUUGCUAUUACUCUCAAAAGAGAUAUUAGCAUAAUUUAGGGAUUUCUACGGAUCAAGUCACGAAGUGAAUAAAUUUUUGAAUUAAAAUUAAUAAUAAUAGAUGAAGUCUAGGUGGAUUCUUUCCUUGGUGUUGUCUUUCUCAUUGGUUAUUAUCCUGUUGCUUCAUUGAUUUAUUAUUCUGUUGUUUUUAGUCAUUUUGGAUACGAUAUCUCUACUCACCGUAGCUAUACUAUAAUUUGAUAAAUGCGCUUGCUUUUGUCAUAAAGUUUAGUUAGUACGGAAAACACACAUCAAUGUUUUGGCACCGUUGCUAGGCAUUAAAAUAUUAGGAACACUUGAAUUUUUUAAAUUUAGCCAAUUUUAUUUUAUUUAUUUUAUUUUUAUAUUUUAUUUUAGUUUAAUUUUUACGUUCUAAUUUUUCUUGUUUGCUUUUGGCAAGUUCUUUUGGUUUAUGACUAGAAGAAACCCGUCAGAACCAUUGUUAUUUGACAGUGACAUUGAAAGUACUGCUUGCAGAAAUAGUAGAGAAGCAAGGUAGAAUCAACAGAAUUUAGUAGACGAACAAGAGGACAUCCUUAUUACUGAGGAGAUAGGAGAUAAUCAGAAUAUUCAACUACCUUCUAUAGUUACUGCAGCUCUUGUUCCUCGUACUAUGUACGAUUAUGCUAAGCCCAUUUUGACUGGAGCUGAAUCGAGUUGUGCAACCCACCAUUGCUGUAAAUAACUUUGAACUAAGGCUGAACACAAUUCUAACUGAAUUAGGGAAAAAUGGUUAAUUCAAAUGAAUUUGAGGGGUUUCCUAAAAUUGAUUAAAAGGAAGUUGGUAAUCAUUUAGAAUUAAAAUUGGGAUAGUUUAGUUUUAAGUGGUAAAAUGACUAAAAUACCCUUAGGGUUAAAUCCUUAAAAAUAGUUUUAAAAUGGUUCACAAAUGAUAAGAUAUAAAAGUAAAAUAUUUUAAUCCUAUUCUUAAUGCAUUUUUGGAUGAAUAUUUAUGUAAAUUAGUGAAUUUGAUGCUCCUAAUCCUUUAAAUUCAUGUUUCUAUACUUAGGAGAGCAUUUGGGAGCGAAAGGAGCUUAAAAUGAGCCAAAAUCGGACAAAUAUAGUUGUUUUCAAGAGCCACACGGCCUAGGCAUUUCCACACGGGCUAGACACACACUCAUGUGCAAGUUCAUGUCGAUUUCCCACCUUGCUUCCCAAAUACGCGGAAAAACACAAUUUUUAGGCUUUCUGACCAUUCUAAAGUCUAUAAAUAUCACUUAGAAGAAGACAUAAGGGAGCCAUAAGAGAUAAUCAUAGAAAACACUUGAAGAACACCAUCGGAUUCAACUUAGAAGCGGAUCUCCAUCAAGAUCGAAGACCUUCUUUUAAUUUAUUCUAAAGUUUUAUGAGUUUCUUUGUUUCUUGUGGUUUUUUUAACUUUGAGAUGUUUCUAUUUACGAUUAUGAACUGAUUCCCUAGAUACCUAGAAAAGAGGAAACCUAUGAUGAAUCUUAUUUUUUGAUUUAUGAUUUACAUUAUAAAUACUUGAUUCUUAUUCUCAAUUAUGUAUGCUAAUUUCUUGUUUUAAUAUUUCCAGGAUAUUAAUUCAUGUUUAAUGUGCUUAAUUUAGUGGAACAAAAGUCUCCGUUUAAGAGUAGAUCUAGCAUAAUUGAGUGAAACUGCAUGUAAUCUUAGAAAUAAAAUGAUAGAAAUCUAUUCGAUUAGAGCCAAAUCAAAUAGGAGAAUCCAUAGAUCGAAUUAAUGCGACAAUAAGGGUUUUAAUUAGGAAGAUAUUUCAAUUAAUCAACCUAGAGUCAAUUGUUCUUACUCUCGAAAGAGAUAUUAACAUAAUUUAGGGAUUUCUACAGAUCAAGACACCAAUUGAAUAAAUCGUUUAAUUUAGAUUCAUAAUAAUAGGUGAAGUCUAGGUGGAUUCUUUCUUGGGUAUUGUCACUCUCAUUGGUUAAUAUUUGAUUAUUUUCUUAAUUUAUUCUCUGUUGGGUUCUUAGUUAAAUUAGUUUAGUAAUUUUAGAUUAAAACUCAUCACUCUAAUUUGUUGGCUAAAUAAUAAGAAAACAGUAAUUACUAAUACUUUUAGUCCUCGUGGAUACGAUAUCUUUAUUCAUCGUGGCUAUACUAUUGUUUGAUAAGUGCGUUUGCCUUUGUCGUAUUUAUAGUUAGUUAAGUGAUCAUCAAGAAAUCAUUUCGAGAGUAAGGUUAGACAACUAUUAGUUAGAAUAGAGGUGUUAUAAGCUUGGGGUGUGUUUUGAGGUGGUUUUGUGCUGGAAAGUCACUUCGAUGGCUAAUGUGUCUCUUCAGGUUUGGAUCGUUCUGUUUCGGUCAGGUUUGGGGUGUCACAUACAUAAUUGACAUCAAUAUAUAUGUAGAGAUUAGAGUCACAACAAUCGAACAAAGGUAAAUAAUACAAUAAUUUAUUCAUAUCGGAGAAAGGUACAUGAAUGAGUGGUAAUGAAAAAAAGUAAAAAGAAGACCAAAAAAAAACCUAGAAUACGAUAAAGCAAAAGGUAGGUCGAUUGAUAGUUCUAUUUUUGCAUCAAAUAUGUUAUUUGAAUGAACCAUGAAAACCCUUCAUACAACUCAAUAAUGAAACAAACAACAAACUAAAACCUUCCACAUUCAUACACACAUAUACACUCAACAACUAGUGAUGGUUUUUUUUUUAGCCAUGUUGAACUAUGUUUGAAAUGUACAACAAAACAACCUAAGCUCUUUGUCUUAAAUAAGUGAACUUUCUUCUUCUUUAGUUUUUUUUUUUUUUAGUUUUAAUCAAGAAACUUGGGGCUAUGAUUUUCUAAAUACUGUGAAUAAAAUUUAAGAACAACUUAUUAUUCAUGAGACAAAUAUGCAUGAGAGAAAAUGUGUUCAAAACCAAUGAGUUCUUUAGAAGUUUUAGUCUCAAAUGAUAGAUUUAAUUCCGUUGAUGUUUUAGAGUUCACAAUGGUGCUAGGAAAACUACAAGAUUUGACAUUCACAAGGUUAUAUAUUUGUUACUUUGUCAAUAAAUUAUCACAAUUCAUACACAAUCCAUUUGGAUUACACUAGAGAAUAGACAAACGAUUAUUGUGUUACUUGCAACAAACAAAAAAAUCUUAGUCUUUGAAUAUUUGAUUGUUUUGACUGUAAUUUCUAAAUAUAUAAUGAUGGCGAUUGUGCUAAUCUCGAUGAUUGUGUAUCCACAUUAGACUAUAUUCUAUUUUAUAGUUUCACUCCAAUUAGUUGGACAUAAAAAGAAAAGUUACUAUUGUACAAUCGUCAACCGAAGCUGAGUAUCGUGCUCUUGUGGCUACUUUUGAAACUCUUCGAGUCAAACAUCUACUCAAAUAGCUUUAGAUACCUCUUGAAUCCACCUAAAAUAUUCUGUGAUAAUUUGAGUGACACUCUACCUUGUCAUCAUCAUUUGUUGCAUAGCAAGAUUAAGCAUUUCAAAAUUGAUGUUAACUUUUUUAGUUUCUACGUUGAUCGUAAGGAACUUGAUGUUCAUCAUAUGUAUGCCAUGGCCUAGGUUCCAAUAUACUCACCAAGUCUCCUAAAACAACCUUUCAUUGUAUCUAUUGACUAAGUCUUUUAAUUACGAGAUAAAUCUUAUUUUGAAUUAAUUUUUAAGCUUUGUUUUGAAUUAACCUUUUAUCUUUUAGAAUUUUCUUGUUUAGAUUCUUUAAAUUUCAUUAGUUAAGAUUUAUUAUCUUUUAUUGUAUAUAAAUAUUGAAGCUGAUCAAUAAAUACCACUUAGAAGAAGACAUAAGGGAGCCAUAAGAGAAUAUCAAAGAAAACACUUGAAGAAUACCAUCAGAAUUAACUCGGAAGUGGAUCUCCAUCAAGAUCAAAGACCUCCUUCUAAUUUCUUCUGAAGGUUUUAUGAGUUUCUUUGUUUCUUGUGGUUUUUUUGAUUUUGAGAUGUUUCUAUUUACGAUUGUGAAAUAAUUCCCUAGAUACCUAGGAAAGAUGAAACCUAUAAUAAAUCUUAUUUUUUGAUUUCUGAUUUACAUAAUAAAUACUUGAUUCUUUUUCUUAAUUAUGUAUGCUAAUUUUUUAUUUUAAUAUUUCUAAGAUAUUAAUUCAUGUUUAAUGUGCUUAAUUCAGUUGAACAAAAGUCCCUGUUUUUCAAAUCGGAGAAAGGUACAUGAAUGAGUGGUAAUGAAAAAAAGUAGAAAAAAGACCCAACAAAAACCUAAAAUAUGAUGAGGCAAAAGGUAGGUCCACUGAUAAAUCUAUUUUUGCAUCAAACAUGUGAUUUUGAAUGAUGGCGAUUGUUGUGACUCUAACCACUACAUAUAUAAUGGUGGUGAUUGUGCUGGUGAUGUCGAUGAUUGUGUAUCGACAUUAGACUAUAUUUUAUUUUAAAGUUUCACUCCAAUCAGUUGGACAUAAAAAAAAGUUACUGAUGCACAAUCUUCAGCCGAAGCUGAGUAUCGUGCUCUUGUGGCUACUUUUGAAACUCUCUGGGUCAAACAUCUACUCAAAUAGCUUUAGAUACUUUUUGGAUCCACCUAAAAUAUUCUGUGACAAUUUGAGUGACCCUCUACCUUGUCAUCAUCAUUUAUUGCAUAGCAAGAUUAAGCAUUUCGAAAUUGAUGUUCACUUUUUUUAGUUUUAUAUGUUGAUCGUAAGCAACUUUGAUGUUCAUCAUAUUUUCUUUUCAUAUGCUAAGUAUUUUAUAUUUUAGUUUUAAUUAGAUUUUAAACAUUUUCUUUUCAAAAUAAUUUAUUUUUUUGUUCUUCAACUUCUAUAUGAUUUGAUUCCAAGACUUUGUUUUAAAGUAUUUUUAUAAUUUUCUUUCCCUUCUUGAUUGUCAACGGUGAUAUCUCGCUAGUUGUUAAAGGAUUUAGCGAAACUGAGCACAUCCAGUUUAUCAAACAGAGCAAUUUCUAUCUCACUCUCAUUUUAAUUUAUUUAUGUGUUGUGCGUGAUUGAAUUGAUUCUAGGGAAUAUGGAAAUGGGAUUCAUGAGUAGCUAAGUCCUUUAGAGAGAUUAAAGGGCUUCCCAUAGGAAUUAGCUAGUAUAAAUUUAUGUGUGCUUAAACCCUAGGAUUGACGAUCGUAGGAAGUAUCUAGGUUAAACGAAGUCGAGACAUAAGUUUACCGAGUAAAUCGUGAGUUUAUCUCAAUCAGGAAAGUGAGGUCGAGAGAUAGGUGAGUACUAGUUAGUUAAUUAAUUAGUAGAGGUCGAGAGGUAAUACUGGUUAGUUAAUAACUAAUUCACUAAUAAAACCUACAUUUUGAAGUUAAUUGCAACCACUGAAACAAGUUAAUAUUCUUCUUGUUCUUCGAGAGUUAUUCAUUUUUCAAGUUUGUUUUAGUAAUUUAAUUUUACUUUAUGACCUUAAUUGUUAGUAUUAAUCAUUGUAAUAUAAUUUUGAGUGAUUACUGUUUAGACCUGCUAUUAUAGACGAUAUUUUUAGAUUUAAUCCAGUCUCUCUUAGGUCUUAAUCCUCGAAAUACUUACUGGUGUUUCGUUGUAAUAGAAAACUAUAUUACAAUUUGACCUAUUCACUUGGAUAUAUCGCACUGUAAUUAUAUAUAUUUUAUUUGUAAAAUUUUUACUUUAAAUGCUCGCACGUUUGGAGGUGGUCAAAACUCAUGCUUGAUCCCUUCAUCCUCAUAGUAAACAUCAAAUCUUUAUUUUUGAAUUCCCUUUCAUGAUCACUUCUUAUUCUUCUAGUCAUUCCAAUGACACGACCCUUUUCAUUCAUCAAGGUCUUGCACAACUUCUGACGGCUUCAAGGGUGUCUGAUUUGUCUCUAAGAAAUUUCACCCAUGUGAACCUUGAAUAUUCAUCCACACAGACUAGCACAUAUCUUUUGCCACUGAUUUUCUGUAUCUAUAUAGGACCAAUCAAAUCCAUAUAAAACAGCUCUAGUGGCUCGAAUGUUUGGUCUUGAGUGACUCUUUGAUGUUUCUCCCUAUGUUACUUACCCUUUAAGCAACAGCUAAAAACUUUAUGGACAUCACCAAUUAAUAUAGGAAUACCCCUGACAACCUCGGACUAGAUCAACAUUUGAAGUCCUUUUUAAUGCAUGCGACCAAGUGUCUCAUGCCACAAUCCUAACUCAGAGACAAUUGCCUUAUUUCACUUCACAUACUGUAGAACUUUAUAACAAUUAUCAAAGGUCCUCUACCUUUUCAUAAUUUUAUCUUUUAUCUCGAAAGAGACUUCACAACUAUCUUUUAUGAAAUUGAUUAACAUUCUUUGGUCACAAAACUUAUUUAUACUAGUUAAUCACAGUAAUUUUUUAUAAAAGAUAUUUUCUAAAAUUAUAUGAUAUAAAAUAUCAAAUUAAUUCCGAUGUACAACAGGUGGAAUUAUUUUAUUAAGUCGUACAUAUAAUUUGUUGAAAAAAUUGUACUUAAAAUUUGUUAAAAUAACAUUAGGAUAAAAAUUAUGAAGGUCCACAUGAAAAAUUAUGAAGAGAGAAUUUUUCCUCUAGCUUAGGGUACUAUGAUUAAUAUACAAUUGUUAUUAUUUCAUAAAAAAAGAUUAUAAAGGUAAUAAUUAUAUCGGUGUAAGUUGUCUCUUGUAUAUUUUACUUCACUUAAAUUCGUCGAAGCCUCCGAAUGAAAAAUUGGACAUAUGUAUAUGUGUAUAUAUAUAUUACCAGGGAAAUCUAAUAUGAGUAUCUUCCUUGGUCUUCAUUUUCAAAUUGCCAUGGAAAUCUACUACUCUAUGUUCAUCGCUCCUUUUACAACAAUGCUAAGCUUCUCCACCUUACUUGCUUUCAUCACUUUUGCUUUGAGUCACCUCUUUAAGCUUCAAUGGCAGCGCAAUGCCCAAAAGCCUAAACAGCCCUCUCUUCCGCCAGGCCCUAAACCUUGGCCUAUUGUGGGAAACCUCCCGGAAUUAAUCAUCAAUAAGAAGAAAACUUCGGUGUCUUAUUGGAUACACAGUUUCAUGAAAGAAAUGAACACCGAAAUUGCUUGUAUUCGUCUAGGAAAUGUUCAUGUGAUUCCCGUUACUUGUCCUGAAAUCAGUCUCCAAUUCAUGAGAAAACAGGAUGCUAUUUUUGCUUCAAGACCCCUUAACAUGGCCACUGAUGUCCUCUCAAAAGGGCACUUAACCACUAUUUUUUCACCCUUAGGAGAUCAGUGGAGAAAAAUGAAGAGAGUUAUGGUCAGCGAGAUGCUUUCACAUGAAAGACAUCGAUGGCUUCACGAGAAAAGAGUUGAAGAAGCUGAUAACCUCGUGCGUUGCGUACUUAACCAAUGCAAAAAUGGUGAUGAAGGCGGCCUAGUGGACUUAAGACUGGUUGCCCGACAAUAUUGUUGCAAUGUGAUAAAAAAGUUGAUCUUUAAUCGAGGGUACUUUGGAGAAGGGAAAGCAGAUGGUGGACCUGGUUUUGAGGAAGAAGAAUACGUCGACGCCAUUCUCGCUUUAGUCAUUCAUCUUUAUUCCUUUUGUAUAUCCGAUUACUGGCCAUUUUUGAGAGGCCUCGACCUGGAGGGGCAUGAGAAAAUCGUGGAGGACGCCACUAGGGUUCUAGAGAAAUAUAACAAUCCCAUUAUUGAAGACAGGAUUCAACAAUGGAGAGAUGGCAAGAAACAUGAACCUCAAGACUUGCUUGAUGUUUUGGUUUCUUUAACGG
rnacentral:lncRNA from 1 species